GUCUAUUUUUUGUGUUUAAGGUAUAUAAUUUGGGUUUAGGGUCUAGGAUUAGGGUUUAGGGUCUAGGAUUAGAGUUUAAAGUUUAUGGUUUGGGUUUAGGGUGUAGGACUUGGGUUUAGGGUUUAGAGUUUAGGUUUAUAGUCUAGUUUUUGGGUGUAGGGUAUAUAAUUUGGGUUUAGGGUCUAGGAUUAGGUUUUAGGGUAUAGGGUUUGAGUUUAAGGGUUUGGAUUUGGGUUUAGAAUUUAGGGUAUAGGGUUUAGAGUUUAGCUGGAAGCAUUAGUGUCGUUAAAAUUAGCGUUUUUAGUUUUUGUAGCUAUUUUUUGUUUAAUUUAAUAUAUUUUAAUUAAUAAUCUAUGUGUCACUUUGAUUGGUCAUAAAGGGUGGGGUGAAUUUAAAGGUUCAGCCUAAGUUCUGUCCUUAGUUUAUCUCUUCUUAUGGUUCCCUCUCAUAUUUUUUUUACUAUUCUUGUGAGGUAUCAACCUUGGACAAAACCUGGUUCAAAACAUAAAGCAUCUACAUGGUAAACGUGAGAGAUUUGCUACCGAAUGAAGUUAAUUAAGUAGAUAAUUCAUGUUGCAAAAAAAAAAAAGACAUUUUCUUAGUUCAUGAUGCAUGCUGCUCAAGAGGAGUGAAGGAUGGGUUGCUUUGUUUCACAGAUUCUAGGAACAUUAGAUCUGGUGAGUGAAUAUUGUCCCAGUGAUCCCACCAGAGACAAAAUUACUGAUAUGUUAAUGUGAGUGUUCUUUAUAGAACAGUCGAUGGUUAGAGGGGUUCAAGUCAUGGUUUUGUUGCCAAGAGCUGCAAUGGUCAUAUCCAAAAAGAGAUGAAUGCGCUGAACUGAAUCUUAAUCAAUUAACAAAGAGAUGAAUGCGCUGAACUCUACUCCAGAUGGUGGUCAUUAUUUACAGUAGAUUGUUUUUAAUGUGAAUACAUUGGUUUGAGAAGAACUUGAAUCAUUGCUGUACAACAACCGAUUACGUUUAACCUUAGUUGGCGUUUGAGGAAUUUGAGAAACUUGUAUUGGGAGUUACUUUCACUGUCUUGUAAUGCCACAGGGACAUGCUUUGCAAGGGGCCUUACAGGUUGCAAAUACCGUUCUGAAAAAGUGAAAAAAAUACCCAUUUUCUUGCAACAUCUACCAUUAUCUCAUCAGUUUGAGACCUAGAAAUACACCAAAGACUCCAAAAAUGUUACCCACAUACCAUUAUAUUACAUACUUAGAUUAGGUUGAAAUAGAAGCUUUUGUGCUCAGAUUCUUGGAGUCCUUCUGCCUGAAAUAGAAGCUUUGAUGAUCUAGUGACUUGCGACUCUUGUCUGAGCCAAAACCAAAAAAGAGGAUUAUUCACACGCCUUUCACACAUCAAAUCUACAUAAGAACAAAAUAAAGUGUAAAUCUUUGAGUCCUCAAAUACACAAAUACAAUCAUAGAAUUAACAAACCUUAAAAUUGAAUUUGUUGUUUAUGUGAAUGACGAAAAUCCCAAAAGCCAGAGUCUUUGUAGUUCCUAUCCUAGCACGACUGAUCAUAGCACGACUGUAAGACCCGAAUCCUGGCCUCUCGACCCAACUGGACCCGCAGGCUUACUUAUUAAUUUCUUUGCUUGUUUGAUUUAUUUUCAAGUCUUUUAUUUACUAAGUCAUGUUCGAAUAUGAGGUUCAUAACAAUCGACCAGAUAGCACAGCGGAAUAAAAAUGUGUUUACUUUUUAUUACUUAGAAACAUGAGAUUCAAUACACAAUUUCUUAACAGUUUCACAGACAAUAACCAGUUCCUCCCUAGCAUCGUCUAACCACACACCACACAGCCUCUCACUGACAGAGCCACCACGGCUCCUUCUCCUUGUCUUGAUCUUCCGGUUGAUCGGAGUUGCUUUCCCAAACGAUCAGAGUCGCCGGAAAACUCAUCACCACAACCGGCCUUACUCUUGGCCGGAUUCUCUCUCCAGACCUUUCUCUAUGCCUUGGGUAUUCAUAACCACACGGCCUCCUCUCUCCUAAACCGUUCUCCUUGCCGGAGAUACUAAACCACCACGACCGGCCCUUUUCUCUCUCUCUCUCUCUCUCUCUCUCUCUCUCUCUCUCUCUCUACGAUUUCUCUGAGUAUUUUUACUCUGGAACUGAAUAAUGCAAUCGAUAGGGAGAUCCCCAUAUUUAUAGAAAACGAGGGGGUAAGUCUUGCCCCACGAACAGGCAUGACUUGUAACAAAUAGGCAUCAAUCGGCCAAGGGUUGCACCUCUCGGCCACUUGCAUCCAAUUGCCCAAACUGACUUGGUUUGGGUCAGACAUAAGCCAAAACCAUUACCCAAGCCAUCUGGACUUAGCCCAUGGCCUUGUCCAAGGACCCAAUAGCCCAUGGCCACAUGGCCGGACCAAACGCCCCACCACUGACCCAGACCCGGACCAUCGGCCCGAAACCCGAACAGUCCGUCCAGCUGAGAUGAGCUGGCUCCCAGCUGACCCAGCUGAGUGAGCUAGUAGUCCAGCUAGUGGAGCUGACUUAGUACUGGCCGAGCUGGAGUGAACUGAACCUAGCUUCGUUGAGCUGGUCGAGCUACUCGUUCACUUCGUCCAGCUACCGUCUUACUCCUAGCUGACUCCUUUCUCUCCCACUCUUGUUUGGUUAAGUUUUGCUAUACUUAACGCUUUUAUUCGGACCAUAGAACGCUUGUCUUUGAUCAGACUGAUCGAAAAUACGUGUUCCUCGAACCAUGGUCCGUCCUGACAAUAUUACUCAGGAUUGGGGAUGUUACAACGACCUUGCAUUGAUAGCUCCAAAACAACUUUCUACACAAACAUCAAUAUUGGAUCUAAAAACCAGAUAACUUUGAAGGGGUUAUUAGGAUUUGUGAGGAUGAUGAUCGCGGAUGAACCUUUUUACCGCCUCAAAGUGAAAAAAAUGCAUUGAAUGAGGAAUUGUGCUUGGAGUGCGUCAAAGGAGUUUAUAACGGUUUACGGUUCCAAGGCGAAGAAACUCAUACGAAAAGACACGAAGGUGACGUGAAGGUGGCGUGAUCCAGAGAUUUGUCAUGUAGAUUCGUCCCUCACAACCCUCCCGAAACUCCAUUGUCAUUUAUGUAAUCAGAGCUGGAAGAACACGAUGAAAUCUAGAUCGACUUUCUUAAAGACAUGAAUGCGGGCUAUGAUAUUAUUAUAUCUAACAGCCCAAAUAAAAAAUAUCAGAACCCAAUAAUUUAAACCGUGAAGCCCACAUCGAUUGUAGACUUAAGUUAAUGAAACGCUGUAUUUUGAUGGGGGACACAUGUCGUUUCCUCGUGCAAUGAUUUUCAUACGUGGAAUCACAUGUGACGCAAAGAGGAGUGAAAGACCAUUUCUUUAUACUAAUAUAUAGAUUUCUUAUUUGCAAACCGUUCAUGAACCAAUUAGUUUAAUUUCAUUCAGUUUUGAUUAUUAUUAAUCAUAUUCAAUAUUUCCCUAACCUAAUCGUGUAACAUAUAUUUUAUGACUUUCUUCUUCUUCACCAAACUUCAGCCACCAUCUUUAUUAAAUUGUGCGAGAGAGCAGUAAACCAUCGCGCACCAUCUUCUUCUCCUCUUCUUAUCUCCUUGUUUCUCGCUUGUUCUUAUCGGAGUUGCAUGUGAUUAUGUGUGCUGCUGCGUUUGACACCACCAACCACCACGACCGGAGCCACCGUUUCAAUCUGACCAGCCGUGAUCCUCAACUGUGAGUCACCGAAGAGGGCUAUGCACUUUUGGGGCUGAGAUCCGCCACUAUGAUUCCAAGCCGUGAAGGUUAAAAGAGAUUAUAUUAAUUUCUUGUGUUGCAAGUUUCUUAAACCCUAGAUUAAUAAUAUUUUAAUCAUGUCUCAUUGUUUUGCCUCUAUUCUUUUCCGAUCUGGUGUGUCAUUGACGAGAUCGAGAUUCAUGGUGAAACCCUAGCUUUCUUGGUGAUCAAAUCAUUUCGUUUGUCUUCUAAUCCGUUUCUGGUUUCCGUUAUUGGCUAAGGUGAGGGAUAUUCCGUUAAAUCCCGUACUAGUGUAGAACUCUUUCUAUGGUAGUUUAGAUUUCGAAGCAUAACCUGUUUCUUUGAAUCAAAUCUGCCUGAGUCUUGUUAGUUAGUUAGUUUAUUCAAUGUUAACCUAGAACUAAGGGUCUAGUGGAUUCAACUGUUGUUUGGAUUAUUUGAUAUUAAGUGAUGAUGUAUAUAUAUAUAUAUAUAUAUAUAUAUAUAUAGUAGUGACUAUGUGAUGAAUGCGGAGGCCAGAGAUCUGGGCUAGCGACGCAUAUGAGUACGGGGGCCCAGAGAAAUCUGAACUAGCGACGUAUAGAGUGCGGGGGAACAUAGACAUCUGAUCUAGCGAUGCAUAUUGGAUGAGUACGGGGGCCCAGAGACGUUUGAGCUAGUAACGUAUAUUGUGUGGUGCAGGGUGCAUAGACAUUUGCAUAUCAACACAUAGUGGUGGAGUGCAGGGGUCCAGAGAUGUCUUGACUAAUGAUGCAUAUUAUAUUAUCGUAUAACCGUAUGAGAAGAAUGUGGGGGUGUGUGGACUAGCUAUGUAACAUCAGCGCAUUGUUUGUUUUGUGUGAUGUGUUAUGCAUCGUGUUUGUUCAUGUUAGAGCUAAACUUCCAUAGGGGGAGUUCUAUUUUCUUAGUUAGUGGUUUGUGUGUCUAGCAUCUCAUACUUCACUGAGUGACUCCUGAGUAACUCCCAUGUUACUCACUCCUCUUUCUUCCCCUUGCCGGUGAUCAUGAUCAGUAGUCGGAUAUCUGGGCGGUUUAAUGUCUUAGGGAUCAUGGCAUUUUAUUUUGGUUUUCAUUCGAUUUAUUUGACAUAUUUUAUAAUUCGAUUUAAAGAUGUAUUUAUUUUGGAUUAGUUUUAUUAAAAAUUUUGAUAUCUUAUUUGGUUUUAAAUAACUCAGUUUAAUUUGAUAUUUUAUCGGUAGUAACACGCCGUUCUAAAGAGAGAGGGGGAGACGGGUGUUACAGUUUCAUUUUUACAUUUAUGUUCGAUGUGAAGGCUUGUUAUCAAAGGUGUUAGACCAAAUGGCCGUAAAGAGAGAACUACUUGCAUAUAAUUGAGAUGUGCAACAAAGAAAUAUGCCAUAGUUGCGAUUGAUUGCGAGGUGAUGAGAACUGUAAAGAAGGAUGCAAGGGAGUCAUCAUUUAAGUUUGUUGCAAAGAGAUGCAGAGUGUUAGUCUUCUUCCGAUUUUUCGCCAGGAAUUCGCAAGGAAUUUUUUUUUUUUGGCAUCAAAAACGCGAGAGGUGUUUUUGUUAGUUUUCAAAAGUCAUUUCAUAUCACUUGUAAUUCCAAAAACGAUUUUGUAUAGCUUGUUAUGUUUAGACGAUAACUAUCUCGUAUAAUGAUAGGUCUCAUUAUUUACAAUUUUUAGACCAUGUUAUAGGUCAUAUUUAUAGUCUUUAUUAUGUAUUUCUAGUCUAUUUUAGAGUAUUUUCAGAUUUAUGUUACGGUCGUUUUACUGAAGAGUGGUCUGUCUGACGUGCGAGCAGAAGCUGUUGAAGAUUUAGGAGAUAUGAGGACCCUAGACCGACGCCAUCUGAGCGUGGAACGACGCCACCUGAGCGUGGAACGACGCCACCUGAGCGUCGUACGAAGAUCCUCCUGACCAAGUCCCAGACGAGUUUUAUUGAAGAUUCAAGAAUUGCAGUCUAGCCCCAAAGUCUCCCUUAUUUACAAAAGACCCCAGAACAUGUUUUAAUCUAUAUUAUUAUAAGCCAUUGUUGACGGCUAACAUUUAUUCUAGAUUGGGGAGAAGAGAAGAACUGGUUCGAAGUCUUCUUGGACUCCUAUUGAUUCAUUCCAUUUUAUUUAUUCGGAUUAUAAUUUGUGUUAUUGCUUUCAUGUCUGAGUAAUCACCCUGUUAGAUCUAGGGAUUUCAUGAGCUUAAUAUCAAAUUGAUAAUCAUAGGAUUGAUAGGGUUAUUCAUCAUAUUCUACAUCAGGAUUGUUUAUCAUACUAGGAUCUAGAUUAAUUAACUAGAACCUUGGAUUAUAUGGUACUAGUGGUAUUCCGGCGCUACGAGCCGGGUUCGUAUGUUUUAUUCUCUAAUGAGUUCAAAAUUAUUUGUAAUCAUGGAAUCACUAAUAUCUCUAGAUAAACUCUUACAUCGUGUGUGUAUGUUCUUUUAGCUGCUUCAUAUGAUAUUGUUGGGAGAUGUUACAUUUGAUGGUCGAUAUGGAUUUCUAGCAAACAUAGAUUAUAUUAUUGUGUUUUGUAGUUGUGAGUAUUCUCUUUUCGUUGUUCAUUGGCAUAUAUAGUUUGUUUCUACUAAAUAGUAAAUUAGUAAUUUGUUUUAGGAGAAGUCGCAUUAUGCAAUUAAUGUACUAUAUCUUCAAAAGUAUUUCUGUUUCUAAAUUUACAACGUUAGUUUUCAUAUUGUUUUGUGGCUGAUUGUAAAUUUACUAUAAUGGGAUAAUUAUAGGUUUAUUUUAGGUCAUUAGAUGUUGAGAAUAAACUCAAAAAUCAAUAUUUAUAUCGGGCAAUAACCAAAAUGAAAAAGAGACACAAAAAUGAAAAAAAUAUUGAAGAUAAAUAUCGGGCAAUAUUUUACUAUGAUAUUUAUUUGUUUUUGGUUUUCUAGCCAUUAUGUUUUUCAUUGCUAUGAGUAAAUAAUUUUAUGUUGUUGAUUUUCUUGUUUAAAGAAUACCUAAAUAAUGUAAAUUAUUCUUCUUUAAUAAUGUAAAUUCUUCUUCUUUAAUAUUUUAUUUAGUCUAGUUUUUGAUGUAUAUUUAUUUGAUUAAGUUUGUUAUACUCCAUAAUUGUUUUAUUGUUUGGAUUAAGCUUUUUCAUUAUAUAUUGAAAUGUUUGGUCUGAAAUAUUUUUUUUAUAUAUCAUCUGGUGUAUCAAUUACCACUUGAUGAGUCUUUCUUUUCAACCUUUCUGAUUUUUUGACAUUAAAUGUUAUGAUAAUAAUUUUCUCUAUUGUAUAAUUUAAAUUUCAGUUAUUGAUAUAUAUAUAUAUGAGACGUUUGAGCUAGUAACGUAUAUUGUGUGGUGCAGGGUGCAUAGACAUUUGCAUAUCAACACAUAGUGGUGGAGUGCAGGGGUCCAGAGAUGUCUUGACUAAUGAUGCAUAUUAUAUUAUCGUAUAACCGUAUGAGAAGAAUGUGGGGGUGUGUGGACUAGCUAUGUAACAUCAGCGCAUUGUUUGUUUUGUGUGAUGUGUUAUGCAUCGUGUUUGUUCAUGUUAGAGCUAAACUUCCAUAGGGGGAGUUCUAUUUUCUUAGUUAGUGGUUUGUGUGUCUAGCAUCUCAUACUUCACUGAGUGACUCCUGAGUAACUCCCAUGUUACUCACUCCUCUUUCUUCCCCUUGCCGGUGAUCAUGAUCAGUAGUCGGAUAUCUGGGCGGUUUAAUGUCUUAGGGAUCAUGGCAUUUUAUUUUGGUUUUCAUUCGAUUUAUUUGACAUAUUUUAUAAUUCGAUUUAAAGAUGUAUUUAUUUUGGAUUAGUUUUAUUAAAAAUUUUGAUAUCUUAUUUGGUUUUAAAUAACUCAGUUUAAUUUGAUAUUUUAUCGGUAGUAACACGCCGUUCUAAAGAGAGAGGGGGAGACGGGUGUUACAGUUUCAUUUUUACAUUUAUGUUCGAUGUGAAGGCUUGUUAUCAAAGGUGUUAGACCAAAUGGCCGUAAAGAGAGAACUACUUGCAUAUAAUUGAGAUGUGCAACAAAGAAAUAUGCCAUAGUUGCGAUUGAUUGCGAGGUGAUGAGAACUGUAAAGAAGGAUGCAAGGGAGUCAUCAUUUAAGUUUGUUGCAAAGAGAUGCAGAGUGUUAGUCUUCUUCCGAUUUUUCGCCAGGAAUUCGCAAGGAAUUUUUUUUUUUUGGCAUCAAAAACGCGAGAGGUGUUUUUGUUAGUUUUCAAAAGUCAUUUCAUAUCACUUGUAAUUCCAAAAACGAUUUUGUAUAGCUUGUUAUGUUUAGACGAUAACUAUCUCGUAUAAUGAUAGGUCUCAUUAUUUACAAUUUUUAGACCAUGUUAUAGGUCAUAUUUAUAGUCUUUAUUAUGUAUUUCUAGUCUAUUUUAGAGUAUUUUCAGAUUUAUGUUACGGUCGUUUUACUGAAGAGUGGUCUGUCUGACGUGCGAGCAGAAGCUGUUGAAGAUUUAGGAGAUAUGAGGACCCUAGACCGACGCCAUCUGAGCGUGGAACGACGCCACCUGAGCGUGGAACGACGCCACCUGAGCGUCGUACGAAGAUCCUCCUGACCAAGUCCCAGACGAGUUUUAUUGAAGAUUCAAGAAUUGCAGUCUAGCCCCAAAGUCUCCCUUAUUUACAAAAGACCCCAGAACAUGUUUUAAUCUAUAUUAUUAUAAGCCAUUGUUGACGGCUAACAUUUAUUCUAGAUUGGGGAGAAGAGAAGAACUGGUUCGAAGUCUUCUUGGACUCCUAUUGAUUCAUUCCAUUUUAUUUAUUCGGAUUAUAAUUUGUGUUAUUGCUUUCAUGUCUGAGUAAUCACCCUGUUAGAUCUAGGGAUUUCAUGAGCUUAAUAUCAAAUUGAUAAUCAUAGGAUUGAUAGGGUUAUUCAUCAUAUUCUACAUCAGGAUUGUUUAUCAUACUAGGAUCUAGAUUAAUUAACUAGAACCUUGGAUUAUAUGGUACUAGUGGUAUUCCGGCGCUACGAGCCGGGUUCGUAUGUUUUAUUCUCUAAUGAGUUCAAAAUUAUUUGUAAUCAUGGAAUCACUAAUAUCUCUAGAUAAACUCUUACAUCGUGUGUGUAUGUUCUUUUAGCUGCUUCAUAUGAUAUUGUUGGGAGAUGUUACAUUUGAUGGUCGAUAUGGAUUUCUAGCAAACAUAGAUUAUAUUAUUGUGUUUUGUAGUUGUGAGUAUUCUCUUUUCGUUGUUCAUUGGCAUAUAUAGUUUGUUUCUACUAAAUAGUAAAUUAGUAAUUUGUUUUAGGAGAAGUCGCAUUAUGCAAUUAAUGUACUAUAUCUUCAAAAGUAUUUCUGUUUCUAAAUUUACAACGUUAGUUUUCAUAUUGUUUUGUGGCUGAUUGUAAAUUUACUAUAAUGGGAUAAUUAUAGGUUUAUUUUAGGUCAUUAGAUGUUGAGAAUAAACUCAAAAAUCAAUAUUUAUAUCGGGCAAUAACCAAAAUGAAAAAGAGACACAAAAAUGAAAAAAAUAUUGAAGAUAAAUAUCGGGCAAUAUUUUACUAUGAUAUUUAUUUGUUUUUGGUUUUCUAGCCAUUAUGUUUUUCAUUGCUAUGAGUAAAUAAUUUUAUGUUGUUGAUUUUCUUGUUUAAAGAAUACCUAAAUAAUGUAAAUUAUUCUUCUUUAAUAAUGUAAAUUCUUCUUCUUUAAUAUUUUAUUUAGUCUAGUUUUUGAUGUAUAUUUAUUUGAUUAAGUUUGUUAUACUCCAUAAUUGUUUUAUUGUUUGGAUUAAGCUUUUUCAUUAUAUAUUGAAAUGUUUGGUCUGAAAUAUUUUUUUUAUAUAUCAUCUGGUGUAUCAAUUACCACUUGAUGAGUCUUUCUUUUCAACCUUUCUGAUUUUUUGACAUUAAAUGUUAUGAUAAUAAUUUUCUCUAUUGUAUAAUUUAAAUUUCAGUUAUUUAUUCAAAAAAAAAAUCAAUGACUGAUUUGAAACCCCUAGCUGGAAAGGUUGUUGUUAUGAAUUCUUAAAUUGAGUACUCGAUACUCACAACUUGAACUAUUGUAUAUUAACACCUGUGAACCAGAUGACGAAUUUCUUAAGAAUAUGUAUGACAUAAACCUUAAUAUAUGGUUUGAAUUAAUGUAGAUAGGAGUUGUCCGCAAGAAAGUGUGUGAGCCAAAGAAUCCACCAUAACGUUUUGGACAUGGUUGCAAACCAUACAUAAAUGUAUGCCUGCAUAGCAUAAAAUGUCAUUAAAAAUGGUGUAAAUAUCUUAUUUAAGUAACUGGAAACUGGAAUUGAGUUGGAUGUUUUACGUUAGGUGGGUAGCUGAGUUUAUUAUUGCUCUUCCACCACUUUUUCCCAUUAAGGGAUCGUUGAAGGAUUAUCACAUAUANNNNNNNNNNNNNNNNNNNNNNNNNNNNNNNNNNNNNNNNNNNNNNNNNNNNNNNNNNNNNNNNNNNNNNNNNNNNNNNNNNNNNNNNAAUAUAAAAAUUAUAUUUAGAAAGUUAAAGCUUUAAAAUUUUAAAAAUUAUAGAAAAUAUUUUUAUUUUAAAAUUUUAUAAUAUUAAUUAAAAUAUAAUACAUAUAUUUUAGUAUUUUUAUAAUUUAAAUUUUUUAUUGAAUAUUUUUAUUUUUGUAUUUAUAUUAUUUAUAUAUAAAAAAUUAUCCUCCCGCAACCGCAAACUCAAUAUUCUUAAUGUGUAAUAACAUACACAAAUUUGUGUAUUACAUAUUUUAGGACAAAUUAAUUUACCAUUUAUAAAAUUUUACAUUGUAUGGGCAUAUUAUGCAAAAUUCGAGUUGUUGUAAUUUUUAAAUAUAUUUAUUAUAUUUAUAGGAAUCUCAUUCUAAAAUGACUAAAUCUUAACUCAGAAACAAAAAAACUGAAAGAAAAUUUAACUUUAUAAAAUAUUAGAUGUUAUUUUUUAAAUUUUGAAAGAAAAUAUUCUUUUAUUUAUUUUUGUAUAGAUAUUCUUUUAUUUAUUUUUGUAUAGUUAAUAUAAAUAGAUGUAUAUUUGUCAUUAUAUUUUUAGUAAAUGGUAUUUUGUGAUUCUUUUUGGGUGCUAUUUUUAAGAUAAAAAUUCAAUCUAUUUAAAUUUAGAGAAAUUCCACAUGAUAGCUUUUUUUACUUUAUUUUCACAAAAAUAGCUGUCGAUGUGAAAAAUGACCAAAACAGGUUUUAUUAAAGGGUAAAUAUAUAUUUAUAUCAUAGAGUUAACUAAUCUAAAUUUAUGAUUUAGAGUUUAGAGGUGGAUAUUUUAGGGUGGGAUUCAAAUUUUUAAAAAUAAAAAAAUAAAUAUUAAAAGUUUCAAAAUAAAAAGAAAUUAUUUUGGUCAUUUUAUUUUUUGAGAGUUAUUUUGCUGACAAAAACUUUUUAAAAAAUAUUUGAUAUAAUUGCCCAAAAUUUCCUAGGAUAAUUUUUUUAGUUUAUUUUCACAAAAAAUAGCUCUCAAUAAGAAAAAUGACCAAAAGAUGUUUUAUUAAAGGGUAAAUAUACAUUUACAUCAUAGGAUUAAUUAAUCUAGACUUAGGAUUCAACAUUAAGUGGUGUUUUAAAUUUUAAAAAAUAAAAAAUAAAAAUAAAAAAGACUAUUUUGGUUAUUUUCUUUUUUGAUGACUAUUUGGGUGAAAAAAACUUAAAAAAAAUGCUAUAUGAGAGAACUGCCCUGAAAUGGAUUCAUUUUAAACAAUUGUUAUUCAACUAAAUAGUUUUCAUUAACAUAUACGUAAGUUAUUACUGUAGUAGAAACUCUAUAAAUUAAUACUCGAUAAAUUAAUAAUCUUUAUAAAUUAAUAAAUUUCGUUGGUCCUAACUUAAGCCUGUUCAAAAUUUGCACAAGUUGAUAAAAUAAUACAAUAAUAAUUGUUUAGAAAAUUCUAUGUAAAUAUAUGGUCUCAUUAAAAUUAUAAUUAAAUAAUUUUUAUCUAUAUAUAUUUUAUAUAAGUAAGAACUUAUUACUAUAUUGUUUGUUUUAUAUUCACAAUAGAAUUAUUUUAUAUUUUCUUAACACUUAAUAUUUUUUUGAUGAGAUUUAGUAAUAUUAUAUCUAAAAUAACAUUUAAAUUCUAUGCAAUAUAUAUUAUAUACACCAAAUAAUAUAAUAAAAUUAAUAUAAAUGUCAAAUAUCAAAAAAAUAACAAUUAGUGUCUAUAUAGUAAAUCAAAUAUUUUUUUCAUCUUAAAAUAAAUAUAUUUUAAAAUAAAAAUAAAUAAAUUUCUAUAAAUUAAUAUCUUUAUAGAUAAUAAAAUUUUAAAGUUUUAAUAUUAUUAAUUUAUAGAAUUUCUACCGUUUUUUUGUACGAAUCAUUUGAGUUUCUCUAGUAUAUGACAGUAGAGAUGGCCCACGUGCAUAAAGCCCAGAACGCAGAAGAGAAUAAAGACGAAAGAGAUAAACCAAAACUUCCUUCCUUCUCUACACAUCCUAGGCAUCAAAAUCCUCUGCAAUCCCACGAAACAGAGAUUCCUCUUUUUCUCCUCAGUUUUAAAUCAGAAACAGUAACGCCAUUGCUUGUUUUUCUUUACGCCAAAUCCUGUAUUGGGUUCUCUUUUAUGUUUGAACUUUCUCUUAGGCCAUCGCCAUGGGAGCUCAGAAGAGCAUCCACGCUGGCAGAGGUCCAUUCUUAUGUUCUCCUUCUGUUCUACACUAUCUCAAAUUAAUUGUUUCACCCGGAUAAUGUUACUUUGUAUUGGGAGUAAUUGGUUGGGCUGUAAAUACUUAUAUCAGCUUUAACUUUUAUCUACAACUUUUAAAAUAUCAAUCAUGGUUUAAAUCCGUUAAAUCAUUUUAAAGCUAUAGUAAAAAAAAUAAAAAAAUUGCAUAAAACCUCUAUUUUCUAAAGCAAUAUUUUAUAUUUUGUAGGAAAAAUGUAAAGCUACAGAAAAUACAUCUACAACAAAAAAUUAUACAUCCAAUUUGUUAGCACAAAAUUUAAAGCUACAUCUCAACUAAUCACCCCCAAUCGGUUUUGCAAGGAAACAUUUUUAGAGUAUACUAUAUGUUUGUCAAAAGAACUACAAUAGAAACUCUUUAAAUUAAUAAACACUAUAAAUUAAUGACAAAUCCUAUUAAAUAUAUGGUCCUAUUAAAAUCAAAAAUUAAUAAGCUAUCUAUAUAUAUAUUUUAUAUAAGUAAGAACUUAUUACUAUAUUGUUUGUUUUAUAUUCACAAUAGAAUUAUUUUAUAUUUUCUUAACACUUAAUAUUUUUUUGAUGAGAUUUAGUAAUAUUAUAUCUAAAAUAACAUUUAAAUUCUAUGCAAUAUAUAUUAUAUACACCAAAUAAUAUAAUAAAAUUAAUAUAAAUGUCAAAUAUCAAAAAAAUAACAAUUAGUGUCUAUAUAGUAAAUCAAAUAUUUUUUUCAUCUUAAAAUAAAUAUAUUUUAAAAUAAAAAUAAAUAAAUUUCUAUAAAUUAAUAUCUUUAUAGAUAAUAAAAUUUUAAAGUUUUAAUAUUAUUAAUUUAUAGAAUUUCUACCGUUUUUUUGUACGAAUCAUUUGAGUUUCUCUAGUAUAUGACAGUAGAGAUGGCCCACGUGCAUAAAGCCCAGAACGCAGAAGAGAAUAAAGACGAAAGAGAUAAACCAAAACUUCCUUCCUUCUCUACACAUCCUAGGCAUCAAAAUCCUCUGCAAUCCCACGAAACAAAGAUUCCUCUUUUUCUCCUCAGUUUUAAAUCAGAAACAGUAACGCCAUUGCUUGUUUUUCUUUACGCCAAAUCCUGUAUUGGGUUCUCUUUUAUGUUUGAACUUUCUCUUAGGCCAUCGCCAUGGGAGCUCAGAAGAGCAUCCACGCUGGCAGAGGUCCAUUCUUAUGUUCUCCUUCUGUUCUACACUAUCUCAAAUUAAUUGUUGAAAAAACGAGAACUUAUUGUGAAAUUAGCCACAACCAUAGUUGAUUGUAUAAUUUAUGUAUAGAUACAUUGGUUGUUUGUAAGGGAAAACACUUUCUUUUCUUUUUUUUAAAGAAUUUUGUGUUUGCUUUUGAAAGUAGUAAAAGAUGUAUGAUGGGAUUGAAGUAUCUAUCAGUUUUGGUUGUGAACUGCUUUUGUUUCUGUUUGAUUGCAUUUCAGCCAAGAUUGAUGUGAAUGUGGAUUUCACUCACAAGCUUUGUACUUCUUUAAUGUUUCCUGCUUUCAGGUUUGCUCCCAUCAAAAUCUAUUCUUCAACUUAAAACAUUAAUCAAUACUUACUUGAGAAAAUCUAUCAUAUAUUUUUUUUUAACAGGGACACUAGCAGUCCUCUCUCUCUAGUGAUUGGCAGGCAAGUUCUUUGACUCUAAAUGAUAAUUUUUGACUCUGCAGAACUGACAAUGUUGGUUUGGGUGGUCUCUGUAUGUUGGCAGCCUCUGUAUAAAGCAUCCGAAUUUGUUUGGAGGAAGCGAGAAGCUUGAUGUAUCGUGGGAUAAAGGGUUGUAUGAUUCCAACGUGCUCGUGGCUUUUAGGAGACCUAGACCCGAAUGGCGUCCCCAACAGUGCUUCUUUAUACAGGUUUCAACCAUCAUCAAACAAAUAUAUAUAUAUCAAAAACUGCAUUUUAUAAUAGCUUCAAAAUAAUGUCACAGCAUUCUUUGUCACCUGAGAUUGGAGUCCACGGAACUCCAUAUGACAAUUUCUCCCGGUCAGGAAGCGGAGGUGUAAAUCUGUCUAAACUGGCAGUUGGUUUAGACUUGAGUGAGCCGGCGAGUUCAAAGUGGAGCAGCACAACCAGUGUUAAGUUUGAGGUACCUUCUCCUCCUCCACACCUUGAACCAAUAUUUUGUUCAUCUACUUACAAGAGCAAUAUUGGUGCAGCAUGUGCGUCCUAUGAACGAUGAAGGACGUUUGAUAACGAGAGACGUGGAUGGAUUCCCUGUAACCUGCAGGUGAUAUUACCUUACGUUGAGUUUUGUUUCAUUGAUCCCUAGCAUAAGACUGAUAAUUUACAUGGGCCUAGAAAUGUUUUUGCCUAUGCAGUGGAAAUACUCAUGACAGUAUGGUCGUUUUAAAGCAAGAAUCCCGGUUUGCAAAGGCUAACGACCAAGGUCUUUCUCAUGUAAGAAGAAGAUGCUCUCUUCACUUUCUGUUUCAAUAUCCCACCAAAACCCUUCUUUUUUUUUUUCUAAUCUCUCAUACAUGUGUUUUGCUUCUUCAGUUCAGCAUGCAAAUAGAACAAGGUAUUCCGGUUGUGUCCAAGUGGCUUAUCUUCAACCGUUUCAAAUUUGUCGCAUCAAAAGGUGUCAGGUUGGGACCGGCCUUUCUCUUAGCAAGGUACUACUGGCUGAAUCUUGACAAGUAGGUGAGGCUUUGGUGUGGAUUCUUCUGACCUCCUCUCUUUAUUUUUUUUUUUUGUGACAGCCUGACAGGUGGGUCAAUUGUAGGAGACAUGGCUCCUUAUCAAGCAUUUGCCAUUGGUGGGCUAGGCAGUGUUCGUGGAUAUGGUGAGGGCGCUGUUGGAUCCGGACGUUCUUGCCUCGUUGCUAAUACAGAAUUGGCAUUGCCUUUGGUAAAUGAGGAGCUGUUGCCUUACUCUUAUUGUGGCUCCUCUAAACCAUUUUAGUGAGCCUUUGGUUCCUUGUUUGAUUGCAGAACAAGAUGACAGAAGGAACAAUCUUCUUGGAUUGUGGAACGGACCUAGGUUCAAGCCGUCUUGUCCCCGGUAAGCUCCUCAUCUGAACCAUAAAGAAGUUGUGUUUUGAACACUAAAAUUGAUGAAAUCAAUUGGAAUUUGGUUUAAGGACACCCGUCGUUGAGACAUGGGAAGCCGGGGUUUGGGUAUGGGUUCGGGUAUGGGCUACGGUUCAAGUCCCCGUUGGGUCACCUUCAGGUUGAUUAUGCCAUAAAUGCUUUCAACCAGAAGACUCUUUACUUUGGUGUCACCAACCUUGCCUCUUCAUCAUAGCCAAACUCAAGAGAAGCACAUAUUCAGUGUCUUGAUUUACACGUAUAUAUAUAUAUAUAUAUAUUUGUGUGUUGAGGUGAGACCAGAAACGCCACAAGAGGAGGCUAACACGGCCCUAGAAGAAGCUGUUAUAAAAAUUGACAGAUAUGUUGAGGAGAAAAGAAAAAUGUUGUCAUAGGAAUCAUGUAAUUGUCACAGGACCAAAAAGUUAUAGUGUGCAGCUGCCAGAGUUUUGUCUGAAUGCUGCGAGUUUCCACUGAGAAGAGAACACACAUUUGAUUUGAAUGCAUCUCUUGCUUUUUGAUUUUCCAUAUCUGAGUUGAGCUUUAGUUUGCAGAAUCAGUUUUAGAUUUGGAUUAAAAAAAACACCCGUAUGAUUAUUAAAGCUGAACCAAAUCUAACCCGAGAUCAAAAUUGGAUGGUUUACUGAAGUCUUUGGGUGUGUUAUUUAUGAAGAGAGUAGUACUGCUGAACCAGAACCAAUUGAUAUGUAUGAGAAUUGAUUUUUGUAAGUGGAUUAAAAUCAAAUGUGUGGUUGAGCCAAACAAGAAUUGACUUGAAUACGGACAUUACGGGUCAUACCAUAACCAUUUCUGCAAAUUUGGUUUUACAUUCCAUACAGCUUGUUAAAAAGAAAAAAAAGGAAGGUUUAGAAGAAAUUGUUGAACUGACUGGUAAGAGAGCUCUUGAGGUUGGAAUAGAGACCGUAAAGAGAAUACUGCUUCAUGUUCUCGACUUCAUACCACGAGUUAAGAACCGCCAAGUGUGUGUCAGUCCCGGAAAACGCAAGCUGGAUACCGAGACUGCAGUCCACAGUGCCUCCUCGGCCUUUGCAGCUGGGUGUUCUGAUAGCACAAUCUUGCUUGUUGAGGCACACAAAGUUGGAGUUCCCCUUGCAGGACGCACACCCGUCUCUCUUCCAGAAGAGGUUUUGAAGCCUACCUUUCUGAAACUCCAUCACCUUACAAAAAGAAAAAUGCAGAGCCAUGACAAGAGGUCCUUGGAGGAGGAGCCUACAUAAUAAAGAUUAUUUGAGACAGGGAAGAUGAUCUACCAAAGUAAAACUGGUAACGGUGUAGGUGGAGUUAGCAAUAAAAGCCGGAGGAGACCUAGCUGCAUAUUUCCGACCAGCGAAAGCCACCAUAUAUCCACCAUAGUUGUCCUUGCAUUCAAAAACAACAUACUUAUAGCCAGCUGCAUUAACCAAAUCAAGUACUACUUGUAAAGCCAAUGCGUAUAAUAAUUAAACAUGAUGGGAGCCAGUGAUGUUUGAAACUAGUCAUGGGUUAAUUUGAAAUCACUUAAAAACCAAAUCUGAUAUUCAACCUCGAAUAUUUAUAAGACUUGUGUUAGUAGAGAGCUGAAGCAAUCUAACAAGUGUAAUGUCAACAUAAUGCAGUGGAAUAUUCAAGAAACCAAAGUCAAUUAAAUCCACUGAGACAAGCAUUUUCCUAAAAUGAAUUCAAAAAAGAAAAAGUUUGAAUUUCACUACCAAUUGAAGAACAUUCAGGUGGUAAUCACAUUGACUUAAAAUGGAAACUAUUAAGGACUUGUUACCAAAAGUGGAAAGACUCAUGUUUGACUUGUCGUUAUAAGAAAAACAAAUCUGAUACUAAUAACACUGAGAGUAUAAAGUCAACCAAAUCUAAACUCUGAUUUAAUCACAAAAUUAGUAUUAAUAUAUAAUCAAAAAAAAGAAUCGGAGUCUACCGGGAAGAAGGCAGAGGUGUUGAUGGAGAGCAGAGAGAUCUCGUCGAUCUUAGGACGGAAGAUAGAGAGCUGAGAGUUCAUGGCGGCCAGGGUUAGUCGACGGUCGCAUGGAGAGAGAAGAACCGUCUGGUUCAGGAAGAAAGAAGCACGCGAAGAGAAGGCGAUUCCGAAGGUGAAUCCAUCGGAUCUCUGGAUUCUGGUGUCGGAGCAAGGCGAGUAGACAUUGUUGGUGUUUCCUCCCAAGGCUGCCGCUCUGUUGAAACCUCCUCCGGCGAUGGUUAGAGCCACCACGAGGAGCGUUAGGGUUUGCAUUUUCGAAAUGUUUUGGGAACUGUGAAGAGAGAGAGAGAGAGAGAGAGUGUGUGUGUGUGUGAACGGCUGAGUGAGUCUGUUUGUGGCUUUCACGUUCGCCUUCGUCGUUUUCCGCAGCUUCAUCACUCUUCCGACUUUGGAAAAUUCCAAAAGUUCUCUCUUUUCUUUUUUUCUUUCUAAUAUAGCUUUUUCGUAAAUUAACUGUUUUGAAAUUAUCUAGAAAAGUUUCCCAGACUUGUCUCUAUUUUAGAAGGUUUUCCAAAUUAACUAUAGUUAAUACAAUGUGGUUCUAAUCUGUAAGUUUUUUUAUUAUGGUUCUUUUCUGAAAAAAAUAAAAUAAUGGCUUUUUUAGUGUAUUUUGGUUUCAGUGACCUGUUCUUGUUGAAGCUUAAAACGCUAUAAGUUACGACUUUUAAUUAUACCAAGGCAAUGGAGAACCCAAAGGAAAUAUUCAGCCAUCAAGGGGACUCCGACAAGACGAUCAUUUAUUCCCAUUCCUUUUUAUACUGUUGACGGAGGCUCUAAUUUCUCAACUUAAAGGUGCAAAUGAGGUAGGCAGACUGACAGGUUUAAAGAUAGCGCGAGCAAGUCCAGCAAUCUCUCAUCUCUUUUUUGCCGACGAUAGUCUUUUCUUCUGUAAAGCUGAUGUUCAGCAGAAGAUGUCCAGCAGGGUGCUGAGCUGAUAAGGAUCAUCAAUCUAUAUGGGAGAGCUUCGGGACAGUUACUAAACCUAUCGAAAUCAUCUAUUUUGUUUGGCAACAGAGUAGGACAGGAGGUCAAGAUAGCGAUGAAACAGAUACUGAGUAUCAAUAAAGAGGGUAGAAUGGGCAUGUAUUUAGGACUCCCGGAAAAAAUCUGUGGCUCCAAGAGACAGGUUUUUGCUUUCAUCAGACAUCGGCUCAGUGAUCGUAUCAAUUCAUGGUCGGCCAAGCUUCUUUCUAAAGGCGGCAAGGAAGUACUUUUAAAGUCAAUAGCACAAGCUCUGCCCACCUAUGUGAUGUCUUGCUUCCUAUUACCAAAAGAUAUCAUAAAUAAACUGCAGGGAGCUAUAGCAAAAAUUCUGGUGGAGCACGAAAGGGAAUAAUCGAGGGCUGCAUUGGAUUGCUUGGGAGAAAAUCUGUGUUCCAUUGGAGAAAGGAGGUCUAGGAUUCAAAGAUCUUCUAAAUUUUAAUCUGGCACUCUUAGCGAAGCAGCUAUGGAGGCUGCUACACCAUCCUAAUUCCCUACUCGCUCGUGUACUUAAAGGUCGAUACUACCGACACAUUAGCCCAAUGGAGGUAAAAACGUCUAACUCCCCUUCGUAUGGGUGGAGAAGCAUUCUAGCGGCUCAGAAUUUACUCAGUGAGGGACUGCGAAUAACGAUUGGAUCAGGUUACAAUACGCGCGUUUGGAUUGACCCAUGGAUCCCGACCAUACCAGCUCGUCCGGCAACAGACAAUGGUGUCUAUCGCGAUCAUGAUAUGUUCGUAAACCAGCUUAUUGAUCAAACUUCCAAGCAAUGGAGAGUAGAGAUGUUGGAGGCAUUGAUAGACUCAGGAGACAUCCCCCUGAUCCAGAGCAUUCGUCCGAGCCAUAUAUUUAGAGAUGAUGGAUACUGCUGGAGUUAUACAAAGACCGGUUUGUACACAGUGAAGUCGGGAUACAAGCUUGCAACUCAGAUGAAAGAGGAGAAGCACGAAAGUGCAGUCAUGGAGCCGAGCUUUAAUCCCUUGAAAGUGCUGAUCUGGAAGUUGAAAACACCAAGGAAGAUUCAACACUUUUUGUGGCAAGUUUUGUCGGAUAGUGUCGCGACUUGCAGCCGUCUUGCUGAUAGACAUUGUGGAACCGACAGAUCAUGUCCCAGAUGUGGACAUGAAGAAGAAUCACUUAAUCAUCUCUUGUUCCUUUUCCCCCCGGCGCUUCAAACAUGGGCACUUUCAGAUAUACCAACCUUUCCGGGGUUAUUCCCGAGUGAAUCCCUAUAUGAAAACUUUGACUACUUACUCCUACGUGCUACAAGGAAUGGAUCCCCCAGAAAUAUUCUUGCUAGGUUUCCAUGGAUCGCAUGGUUCAUAUGGAAAGAUAGGAAUGAAAAGAUUUUCAACGGCAAGCAAAUUCUACCUCCGGAUACUGUACUACAUGCUACCCAAGAGGAGGAGAACUGGAGAGUGGCACAAAUAAUAGCGAGUCAAGAAGUGACUGGAGGAAACCAACACGCAACUGACGGGAACAUGGAGAAUGAGUCACCAUAUCCAAGAUGUCAAGUGGAUGCAUCCUGGGUGAAAAAUUCGACAGUUUCUGGUGGAGGUUUUGUUCUCGAGCUGGCGCCUGGUUCCAUUGGUAUGGACCAGACCCUAUGUCCUAUGCAUGCGGAGUUCACCAUCUUGCUAUACGCAAUGAAAAAUUCCCUACAGCUAGGAGUUACAUCGAUGUCCUUUGAAUCGGACUGUCUUCAGCUUGUCAAGCUGAUUAACGAUGAAGAAGAUUGGCCAGCUAUGGCUUCGGAAUGGAAUGAAUUCAUUCAUCUCUUAUCUCUUUUUACUGUUUUUUCAAUUUCUUUUAUCGCAAGAGAGCGGAAUGUAAGAGCGGACCUUCUUACAAAAGGAGCUCGUUCAAAAAACUCUAUUUUCUCCCAUGUAGACUCUGUAAUUCCGGGAUGGUUAGCCCACAAAGCUAACCUUUUCAUCCUGAAUUAAUAAAGCAUGGAGUUCGAUGUCAAAAAAAAAAAAAAAUUAUACCAAGGCUAAGAACUCUUGUUCAUUAAUUAUACCAAGGCUAAGAACUCUUAUUCAGAGGGCACCACAAUGCUCUAAUGAACACUGGCUUGUAAGGCAAUAGAAAAUCAAUAUGAGAUUUGCAUUGUUUUUUCCUCCAACAAAACAAAGCAUUAUUAUUCAGAGGGCUCGUCCCAGCUCGAACUUCCAUGAUGGAUUCAUCUCUUGUAAGUUCGAGUACUGUUUUUUCAAUUUCUUUUAUCGCAAGAGAGCGGAAUGUAAGAGCGGACCUUCUUACAAAAGGAGCUCGUUCAAAAAACUCUAUUUUCUCCCAUGUAGACUCUGUAAUUCCGGGAUGGUUAGCCCACAAAGCUAACCUUUUCAUCCUGAAUUAAUAAAGCAUGGAGUUCGAUGUCAAAAAAAAAAAAAAAUUAUACCAAGGCUAAGAACUCUUGUUCAUUAAUUAUACCAAGGCUAAGAACUCUUAUUCAGAGGGCACCACAAUGCUCUAAUGAACACUGGCUUGUAAGGCAAUAGAAAAUCAAUAUGAGAUUUGCAUUGUUUUUUCCUCCAACAAAACAAAGCAUUAUUAUUCAGAGGGCUCGUCCCAGCUCGAACUUCCAUGAUGGAUUCAUCUCUUGUAAGUUCGAGUUGGGACGAGCCCUCUGAAUAAUAAUGCUUUGUUUUGUUGGAGGAAAAAACAACGCAAAUCUCAUAUUGAUUUUCUAUUGCCUUACAAGCCAGCAUAUAAAUUGAACUGGUAAAGAUAAUACAAGCUUGAUCUUUUGAAAAUUCAAAACAAGUAGUCGAUAGUUUAAGCGUUGGUAGCUCCUAUGGACUGGAAUCUACUUUGAAGAAUAGACAUAUCCUGAAACUCUAUUGAAAAAUUUGGCCAUGCUUAAAUUUUUGUAAUCAUGGUGAUUAAAUCUUUACUGGCUUUUUCAAAGUUUUGGCAAAUAGACUGAUGUAACAUACUCUCCAUUGUCCAAAUUAGUGAUGAUAACUCUGAAAGCAGAGAGGUCUCUCACUGCCUUAUGUUCCUUGUACCCAUUAGUUGAACGUAACCAGAUGUGUCUUUCCGCGCCCAUCCAUGUCCACCGAACUGUGAUGUAGAUGAUCAUGAUCCAUCCACCAUACAUAUGUUCUAUAACCAUACGACUUGUGAAUCAGUAUUGUCUGAUGGUUGUGUUGUUGUAGCCUUUACUGCAUUUUGCAGAGGACUAAACUUGGCACUCUUCUUCAUGGUUGAUCCGUUCUAAUGGAUCCAUGUCUAUUCCUCAUAAUAGUUUAUCAUUUCAACAUUUUCACAGAUACCAAAUUAUCCACAUAUAAAAAUCUUAAUCUAAUUCUAGGUCAUCUAUACUGCUUUCGCUAGAAGAGAUAAUUCAUACUAGUGCAGACACUCGAGACCAGGAAAAUGUUUGAGCUAGAAGGUGUAGCUGAUAAAGCCUAUGCUUGUAGUGUCAGCAGGCACUCAAAAAUGGCAUAAGUGAGAGACUCAUCUUGUUCCCCACAUCCAGGAAAAUGAUUAUCACAUCGCAUAUGACAACGUGUCAUGUUCUGCGUUACAGUUACAUGUCAUGUUACCAGUUGCCAUAUAAGAUGGAACAUCUUCUGAUUUCCAAGCAAAUGCUUGAAGCUUAGUGAUCCAGACUUGCAUUCCAAUAUCCAGACUAAAUAGUAUACUGACCAUUCUUCAUAAAACUCCAACAAAAAAUAUUUUGAUGUGUGGUUCGACAUAUCGCUAAGCUACGAAUCAGUGGUAUGUCAUCAGGAACGAUAAAGUUUUCAAGCAUCUCAAUAUCCCAUACCUUUGAAUCGCUUUCAAUAAAAUCAUUGACCGCCAUUCUCGGGUAAACCAACAGAUCAUUUGGACGUGCAUGCCUUGCUGGUGUAGUUGGGAUCCAAGGAUCCUCUUACACUUUAACUUCAUAUUCUGAAUGAAUCUUCUGUCUAAUUCCCCAAUGAUAUUAAUUGCUUUGCAGCCGAAAUACUUGCCCACACGUAAAAAGGUGAUAUAGCCACGAAACCUAGUACGGUGAGACGGUCGAUGGAAUAGUGAUGGUCGAGAAACCGGUAGAGAUGGAGGUGAUCGAUGGAUGAGUUGAUGUCCCUUUAGUCCAAUGUAACCUGAAAUCAAAGGAAGAACAAUGAGAUGAUGAAUGAAACAAAUAAAAAAAAAACUAAAAUAAAGAGAUAAGAUGGGAUUCAAUGGUUUGAAGGAUAGAUGAUCGAUGAUCGAUGAAGGAGAUGGUGAUGGAUAGUUGAUGAUUGACUCUCUCCAUCCGUGGUUUUGAUUGACUUUCUCAAUUUGUGAUCUUCAACGCUGAUGAAUCUCUCAAACAACCUAUAGAACCAACGAGCUCAGUAAAUCUAUAAUGCUUCUCACAUUUAGAAUUCUAAAGAACAACUAUAAUAACAUUCUUUGAAAAGUAAAUGCUUUGCAUACUAUUUUAUUGAUUGAAGGUGGUUUUUACAUAGGUCGACAAUGAGCUUAUAUAAUUCUCAAAUACAAUAUUCUAAACGUUCUUAAAAAAAAAUAAAGGAAAAAAAAUCAAAAAUAAGCAAGAAAUCGAAAACUAGCCGUUGGAGAUUUUUGUGGGAUGUUGGCUCCAAAAGUAAGAAACUUGAUCCUUAGAACAUGGACGGUUUUAGAGGAUAAAGGAAAUUCUUGAGAUCUUCUUGGGUUCUUUAUAUGUGCUAAUCACAUCCAUAAAUGAAUAGAAAAAGAGCUGUUGGGUUUAAUUGCAUGAGACUCCAAAUAAGGAAAGUGUGGCCAAGUGUGGAUCCUCCUGAUCCUAUGGUUGAUGAUCCAUGGUAAGAGAAGGAAAAACGUCCUGGAUGUCUUUUUUUUGUUUAGAAAGUCUUAUGGUAGGAAUAACUUGGUUGGGAAUUGAUUGAACCGAAAGAUUACCUAAUCUUUCCAUAAUCGGCUCUUGGUUGGUUUAAUAUAUUCUUCAAGGAUCCGCUGGACUGUUAAUUCCGAUAAAUUCCUUAGGAAAUUGUAGAGGGCCUCUAGAAUUGAGUUUGGUUUGAUGGUAAUUUCGGAUCUUCUAAUUUAGGCAAGUGUAGAACUGUUUUGACCGGUUUUGGGAAAUGGGCCAUAAAUUUAGAUUUCAGUGGAAAUUUCUCCUCAUUCUUCUCUUGUUGAAAAUUUAAUAUAUCCAUCUUGAAGUUCAUGAUUUUGUUUGGGUCGGGCCGCUUCUUUAUUGGACUUAAAUAACCUUCUAAACUCUGAUACUCGCAGAUGGAAUGGCUAGGAAACUUCUGGUUUGUAAAAUUCAUAUAUUUCUUGUCCUGAUAUAUUUGGGGAUGAUUCCACUUAGAUAAGAAAUAUUUAUGAGUGUAGAAUCCAUGAAACAAAAUUUCUUGGUGAAAUCCAUCUUGAAGCGUAAGAUAUGAUGUUUUCACUUCACAUAUGUCCUGGUUGGUGACUUGGCUUGCUGAGUUGUGUGUUGGGUCGACCUCUGGUUCAUCUACUGAUUUGAUGGCCGCAUCAUACCCUCUCCUUGAAUUUUUUUCGAAACUAGAAACCGGAUAAUCUGCACCAAGAUGGAGCAAUUUAGGUUUCAUUCUCAUUUGAGACUCUAGAGCCUUACCAUGGUAUUGUAUCAGUUUGAUCUUGAAUGACACAUCUGGUGGCUCUCCUUUGAGUAGGAACGACAUGGCUACUUCUCUGUUUUGUUCUGGCCCUCUGGUGGGUGGUUUUUGGUCUUAUGGAUCGUCUGGAAUCAAAAUGUUGUUGAUGACAACUUCUUGUUUUCUUUUGGCAUGUAAACACCUUGUGAUCUGCUUGUGUGGAUUUCUUAUCUGAUCUUUAGCCUCUGUUCCUAAAAUAAUCUCAACACUUUUGGCAGGAAACAAAUGCAUUAUAUUUGUGUUUGGGAUUUUGUAAAUAGGACAAGUAAAGUUUAGAUUUUACCCAAAUAUUUUCAGCUAGUUGAAGAAUGAUUUGUUCUAUGGCAACUUGUGUACUCUUAGUGUUUCUUCCUUCUUCUUCAACGUUUUGUGGACAAGACAUGUGCUUUCCCUGGUUAUCUUUCAAACUUUCAUCAUGGAUUGGUAGUCCAUCACGUUGUCUUAUCCGUGGAUCAAAAUCUUUGGCAAAAAUAAGUACAUAAAUCCAGAAUUUGAAAGUUCUAAAGGAAAAAGGACUAUCACUUGUUUUAGUUGGUUCUAGUUUCAAGUCCAGUGAUGUAUAUCCUAAUAACUUUCUAGUGGACAAGUUACAGAAAAUUGCCCUCUUUUAUGGUAUCUAUAACAUGUCUGACUUUUAAAAAAUUUAGACUUAGAAGACUUACCUUGGUUUAGUGAUUGAUGCUGGUAGCAUUUGCAAACUUUGUGUGAUAGCUUCACCUUCAGGUCGUGGACCUCCUUUGUAGGUUGUGAAGCUCUUUUUGUAUCUGGACAUGUUGCUGGUACCUUUAGCAACUGGAGUGAACUUGGAUGUGAACCCUUUUGCUUCUUGAUAAUUUUCUUCUCUACAGCUGGUUAUAUCUUGUGUAGGCUGUGAUGGUGCUUAGCUUACUUUCUUCCAGUCUUAAAGCUUGUGAUUGUGGUGUGAGUAUAGCCUGCGUGAGCAACACUCAUAUGGAACUGAUAUUGCUGAUCUAAUUCUUUCUUCACAAACUUCUCAAGCAUCUCGAAUUUGAAACUCCCCCAAGUAUUAUCCGGUUCAUUGUAGUACCAUUGAGAAACCUGCACUUUUGCCCACCAUGCAUAAGCAGGUCCAGUGAGUGUAUUAGUGGCAUAUGAUAGCUUCUCUUCUUCUGGAACGUGGUGCAUGUGGAACAAUGUUUCCAUUUCGUCUUCUCACUUUAGAUAAGCUUUAUUUCUUUGACUAUAAUCUGAAAAGGCUCUUUAUCAAUUUUUUCCAGCCUCACUUAUGGCUUCCUCCUCUUCAUGGAAGCCAUGUUGGAAUUCUGUUUCAUCUCUCUGGCCCUAAAAAUCGUGGACUUCUUUGCUUCAUCCUCACUGAUUUGAGAAUCUGUUUCUUCACACCAUGAUCCAAUAUCUUGGUAAGGCUUGAAGAACAAUGCUUGCCUUGCCUCAUGAUCAGAGUAUGGCACUUCAUUCAAUGGCCUCUCUUCCAUAAUUUGGUGAGAUUCAGGUCUCUGGUUUAACUCCUCACGUCCUGAGUUAUCAACAAAAAUAUCUUCUGAUUCACCAAAUUCUCCAUCAUUUUGAUCAGUUUCUCCUAAACUGAUAUGAGAAUUGGUGUCCUCACACCAUGGCAUGUCUUCUUGGUCAGUGACAGGAGGGGUUUGAUCCUCCCAUGAUCUUGGUCGUCCAAUUGGGACUGAGUUUCUUCAUAAUCCCAUUUUUUUUAUUUUUCUAGACUGUUUUUAGCUUCAGUCUCUUCUUGCCAUGAAUCACUCUAAUAGCUUUUUUCUGGAUCAGCUUCUUUUCGAGACCAAUCUGUGGAGUGCUUUUCACCGUGGUAAGGGUCUGGUGGGUCUGGUUCAGAAUCUUCUUCAUAAAGAUCCUCGUCAAAGUCAGUGUUGGAAUAAUUAAUCAUCAGUCCAUUGAUCAUAUACAUGAUCAUCUUCUAUAUCAGGCAUGGACUGAUCUUUUUUCGGUGAAUCUUCUUCCUCCAUGUGUACUUGAAAGGAACUCACAAACUUGUAGUCAAGAUAUUUAAUGGGCACUGGUAGAAUUCUAUGCAAAACAGAAUUAAUUAAAAUGCUUUGGAACGACUUUUCUAAAACUAUGAUGUAAAAUAUUUUUCUUUUGUUUUAUUUAGAUUCACAAGAGUAACGAUGCAGCCUAAAUGAUGUAAUAUGUAGAUAUGGUAUGCAAAUUUUAAAAUGACUUCGAUAUAAUUAUUAUGUAUCUUUUUUUUGUAUGCUGGCAAAAAUAAUUUAAAUGCAAAUUCUUAUUUUGGUUUUUGAAUGAACGAAUGGUGUACACGAAAUAAGUAAUUAAAUAAUGGAUAUAUGCAAGAAAGAAUUAAUUAAAACUAGAUUUUGACUCGCACGCUCAUGCGGGUAUUUUAUUUAACUUUUAUACUGUCCAAAUUUUAUUUUAUAAGAUUGAAUAUAAUAUAUAUAUUAAAAACUUACCAAUAUAUUAACUAAUUGUUUAAUAUGUAAUUUUUUGACACACAAUAUGAUACGAGAGAUCGACAAUAAUUUUAUUAUGAUAUCAACAACCCUUAUAUUAGCCCAUUUUAUAUAUAUUUUUCUUGUUAUAUUUUCUUUCCAAUAGAAUCAAUAAUGUAAAUAUGCGUAAAAAUACAUAUUUAUUAACAUUUUUUUAUUUUACAUAAUAAUUUUCCAGUUGGUGAUGUUGAUAAAUUAUUUACAUGUGCUUAAAACAUUUUAAUUCUUAGGAAUAAAUAGUUAGGUAUUGGAUGCUAAUUUUAAGACAAAAUAUUUCACACUAAUUUAAACAUUUUUAAUUAAUAAAAUAUUUUAUGAUAAAAUAUUCCACAUUAAUUUAAAAUAUCUUAGAGUAUAUCAUAUUUGGUUAGUUAAUAUUUUAUAUUAUGAUUUUUUAAUAGAACAUUUAAUUUUAUACUAUGAAGUAGUUUUAUAAAAUGAAUAUUCGUGUUUCAAAUAUUCUAUUAACGAUUUUAAUUGAAAAUUUGAAAUUGUGUUAUAUAUGUGAUAGUAUAUAUAGGAAAAGAAUUUCGUUGUUCAUUUUUAUUUUUGGUUUUCUAAUACUUAAUUGUUUAUCUAUUAUAUGGCUAGUCAAGAAUAUAUAUUGUAUACGAAAGAUUUAUUUAUUUAUAGUUAAUUUGUAGCAAUAAAUUAGGGAUGCUUUAAUUUGGAACUAGCUUUUGACCCGCGCGGGCGCGCGGAUGUAUGUUUAUGCUAUCAAAAUUUAACAAUGCCAUAAACAUAAUUGUUUAGAUGUUCUAGUUAUAUAUUCAUAAUUAUUUACAUAGUUGUGUCUUCCUUGAUGUAUUUAGCGAUCAGUUAUAAACUAUGAGAUUGUGUUCUCUCAUUUAUAGUGCUUUUAUUUAUUCUACUUGGAAAACUAUAAUUAAAAUGUAAAAUGUGAAAGUUUAAAGUUUACUUGUUGGUUUUUUGAAAUUAUAUUUGUAUUUAAAGUUGAAAGUGCUUAAUAUAAUUUCAUACUGAUAUUUAUAAAAAAAUCAAAAUACAUUAUUUAAAAUAGUGGUUGCAUAACAUACAUUAAGAACAUAUAAAAUAAGUUAUUUAGUUUUACUAAUUAGAUAAGGCAAGAUUCAUUUUAAUUAAACAAUGGGCCAUUUCAUUAUCAACUUAUCAUUAAAAAUUUGGUACUUAACAAAUAUAAAAAUAUUGAACCGUAAUGGACUGAAAACAUGAAUCAAAGCCCAUAUUUCUUUUUGUCCAGGAAAAAAAAAACAGAAACUCGUUGUCCUUUUACCGACUUUUCACAUCCAAGAAGAAAGUUUACCCUUAUUUGCUAACUACAGUCCUGAAACUGGUUCUGCAAAUAAGAAGAACGGCUGUAAUAAUUUGAACGGUUCGGACCAUAAGGGGAAGGAGUUUCACCACUGGUAUUAUUUAUUUUUUCAUUGUUGCUAUUAAUGCUGUUGAACUGACUAUGACUUGUAAUUACAAAUGGUAGGGUUCGAGUUUUAAUGAUCGGAUAGACAAAGCUCUCGCAUGUUUUUAACUCCCUUUGCUUUGGGUGAAGACUUAACUUUUUUUAUUAUGAACAUUAAAAAUUGAAGGACUUGGAAUAGAUUUCAGAUUUUUAUUGUUUGCAUAGGUUCUUCUAAUCGAAUCUAGGAUGGAAUGUGUUAACAAAUUAGCUUCAUUGUAUGAGGUCUGAUUAAAUGAGAAAAGUAAUUCUUAAUUUCAUGUUUUGGUAACAUUAUUGUUCAUAUCAUAAAGAAUAUUUGAUAUAUUAUUUACUUUUCAGGAAUUAGAAAUUUGUAACAGGGACCUACGACUCGUUAUGCAGAAAGAGAGAGGGAACAUAAAUGAUUUAAAGAAAAGCUCAGGCAGAUACAUGGGGAUUGGGGAACAUAGAGAUGAGCAUCAGUUGUAACUUCACAGAGAAAAGGGAAGACACGCUGAUCAGGUAGUCGAUGUUAAAUGCAAGUGUUCUCAUAAGUUUUGUUGAUCUUUUUACACAACCAUGAUGUAAUUAUAUUAAUCUUUUUACAUGAUAUUGGACGUUCUGAAAAACAAAUGCCAGUAAUCAAGUUGCAACAUAACUAAGAAGCCAACAUGGAAUGGAAAACAGACUUAUCCCACGGCAAGGUAACUCCGUACUUAUCAUUCAUAGCCGGAAGAAAAGUAGGAAAGUCUAGAUUAAGCUAUUAGGUUGAAGAACCCUGCCUUAAGUUUAGAUGUUUGGUUUUUAUUUUCUUGAGUGAGGCAUAUUUGGAUUUAUGUUAUAUGACAGUAUUAUAUAACACCAAAUUUAAUUCCCUAUAUCUUAUGAUGUUACGUUGAAAUGAAUGUUUGAAAAUAAAGAUGUUACGUUGAUUGCACAAAUAACAACUUGGCUUUCUGAACCAGCAACAUUUUUCCAUAAGAGAGAACCUGUGAAAGACUAACCUGUAAAGAGCAAAAGGGGAAAUUUAUUAUAAUAACUUUUCUUAAUUGGAUAUAUAAGAACACAUAGUAAUCUAAACUUAAAAAAGAACACAUCGAAACAUAAAAAAACUAUAAGACAUAUGUGGCUAUUUAAAUUACAUACCUUAUUACACCAACUAGUGAAGGUUUUCAAAACAGAGCAUUGUCUGCUAUGAUCUUGUACUUAUGUUUUGUAGUUUGAUACUGACCACCAGCUGAAGUGACGGAUAAGUUUGCAAGUAGCAUGGAUCUUGUUUCCCUAAAAAAACACACAGUCAUAUUAGAUUCAAAGACAAAUAAGUAAUGUUAUAAAGAGAUUCAACGUUAUCAACAUAAAGUUACCUAUUCAUCUGCUAAAAUCAUCUCGAAGCUAUCACCUCCGAAAGAUGUGUGUUGCUUCCAUGAAUACAAACAUUUCACUUGAACUCCAAUUGUUUUUGUAAGGUGAAAGUUUUUUGAGUGGUAAAGCAGUCAGGAUGUACAUCUUUCUGAUUUUAGGUUUUCUUUGCUAUGUUUUGGACGAUAGAUUGAUGAGAUAUAUAUACUGGCGUUUGGAAAGAGAAGGUUUUUUUUUUUUUGGCGGCGGAAAGAGAAGGUUAAAUUAGAAAAUCAAAUAAAAUAUUUGGAGUUAUUUGUGAGUUGUACGCAGAAUCACACGAAUAUAAAUUAAUUAAUAUUCAUUCCUUUUUAUGAUAUCUAACACUACUAAAAGGUGAAUAUGGAGUGUUUCUAGCAUGUCCACGUAGGCUAAUAUAUUUAACCAAUCAAGACAUUCCAAUAAUACACGCUGGCAAAAGACACGAAGCUCUUGCUUUCGUAUGGGCUCUGCUGUGUUUCGAUGGGCUUCGUCGGUUAGCAUUGGGCUUUGCUACCCAGUUCAAUUAAAAAAAAAAAUUCAACCCAAGACGGAUAACACGAGGCUCUACGCUUCUCGCUCUUCGUCUUCACCGUUUCUUCACCAUCGUUUCAGUUCUCUCGAUCCAGAACUCCACAAUCAAUACUCCACUACAUCUCGAUUCAAUCGAGUUACCUCCGACGCUAACUGACCUGGAUCUCACGGUGAACCGUUUAUCGGAACUGGACUCGAGGAUCGCUCACCUCUCUAUGCUCAAGAAGCUUUCUCUUCGCCAAAACCUAAUCGAAGACUCCGCCGUCGAGCCUCUCUCUCGCUGGGACGCCUUGUCCGAUCUCGAGGUGAUUAUUAUCAUCCACUCUCUGAUUCUGCGAAUUUCACAAAUAUGAUCUCUCGAGGCCUUACGAUUGAUAGUCAUUUGUAUAUGUAGGAGCUGAUUCUCAGAGAUAACAAGCUAGCGGAAGUACCAGAUAUAAGCAUAUUCUCAAGGCUUUUGGUCUUUGACGUAUCUUUCAAUGAAAUCACUUCGUUGGAAGGAUUAUCAAAGGCCUCUAGCACGUUGAAGGAGCUCUAUGUGUCUAAGAAUGAAGUUAACAAGAUUAUGGAGAUUGAACACUUGCACGACUUGCAGAUUCUUGAGCUAGGGUCCAAUAGAUUGUGGGUUUGGAUUUGUCGUGAUUACUUUACAAUGUUUUAGCAAUGAAUAUGAAAGCAUUGAGGUUUAUUCAGGUGAUGGUGAAUAUGGAGAGCUUGACAAAGUUAGAAGAGCUGUGGCUGGGAAGAAACCGUAUCAAAGUUGUGAACUUGUGUGGGCUCAGAUGUAUUAAAAAGAUUAGCUUGCAGAGCAAUCAAUUGACCUCUAUGAAAGGAUUUGAGGUGUGUGUUGUUUUACUCUUACCAUCAUUUUACUAAAUCUGAUGCAUUGAAAAAAAUAUGUGGACAGGACUGUGUUGCUCUUGAAGAGUUGUAUCUGAGCCAUAAUGGUAUCUCAAAAAUGGAAGGCUUGAGUGCGUUGGUUAACCUACGGGUAUUAGACGUGUCGAACAACAAGCUCACAUCAGUUGAUGACAUUCAGAGCCUCACAAAGUAUUUCACUUUUCCUUUUCUUCAGGACUGACUUUUUUAUUUUGGUGAUUUUUGUUUGUUUACGUUCUGACUUUUCCUUUACAUGUAGGCUGGAAGAUUUAUGGCUUAAUGACAACCAGAUAGAAAUACUUGAAGCUAUCACAGAAGCUGUUGAAGGCUCUAAAGCUAACAGCUUUCCCGGAUUCUCCAUGUAGUUAGUCAUUAAAACCCUUUUAUUAACUUAUUUUUUUCUAACAAUAUAAUAUGACUUCUGACAAUUUGACUAAUCACUGUAUAGAAAAUGGAUGCUAAUGUAACUGCAAACUGUGUUCAUCCUGGAAUCGUGAGAACGCGUCUCACAAGAGACCGAGACGGCCUCAUCACUGAUUUUGUCUUUUUCUUGACCUCUAAGCUUUUGAAGUCCGUUCCUCAGGUAUCUAAGUCAAAUCAAUAUUUGAUCGAUUUUCAUUUAUAAAUCAUAUAUUUAGAAUUAUCCAAACUAACGUACGACAUCAUAAAAAUAGCUUACUGAUCCCUGUUAAUUAUUUAUAGGCAGCAGCAACGACAUGCUGCCUAGCAACGAGUCCGAGAUUGAGGAACGUGUGCGGCAAAUACUUUUCAGACUGUAAUGAAGCUCGGACUUCUAAUCCGGAUCGUGCAAUCUUAAAGCUCAGAGACUGUGGACUGCUUCGGAGUUGUUGGUCACUCCAGCUUCCACUCCCGAUGUUUAUCAAACCUUUAAAUACUUUUUAACCAACGAUGCUAUGUAUGUGUAAAGCCUUUCCAAGCUUCUUGGUUGUGAAAUGUUUUAGAUCAUUUGGAGGAGUAAUAAAGUUUAUAUGUUAUCACUAAUCACAUAUAUAGAUUGAAGAAAGGCAACACAGGCAGAUAUAAACAUUGGCACGCCAAUGUAUGUACCACAAAGACAACUAUUAAGUUAUCAUCAUAUUAAAAUCUAGGGGGCAUUAAGCACAUGCCUAACAAAAAAAUAUUUAAAACACACUGUGUUAGUGUUAUCGGCUAAACAAGAGUUUGUUUUUAAGAUUUUUGUAAGAACAUAGUUUGUUUUUAAGAUAAUAUUGGCUUUUUAACAUGCUUUUGCAUACUCAUUGCAUAAUUAUAUGCACUUGCAAGGCAUCGCCAGUCCUAUAUUAUACUCAAAUUUUAUGUAGUGUUUCCAAAUCUACAGAGUGAUGCUCUGGUUUAUAUGAUUUAAAGACUAAUUUCUGGUGGUGUUUUAAAAACAAAAUUGGAUUAGUUUGGUUUGUGUUUUAUUUUUCUUUGUAAUGUGUUUCCAUAAGGUGGUUUUGAGAAAAAUAAAUUUUUUUGUUGUUUGAUAUUUUUAUUCAGUUUUUUUUUUUUAUCAUAAAAUAGUUUGGUUUUGUAAAAAUAACCGAUUUAAAUCAUCUAUUUUAAUCAGAAACCAUGUAAAGCAAUUUCAUUUCUCUUAAUUCCGUUGAUAUUUGAUCGAAAAACAUUUCUUAACCUUUAGCUAAAAAAUUUAGUUUUCAGUCUCCUUGAUAAAAGAAUUUUGGUUAGUGUAUCAAAUCAAUAUUGUAUAGCCGUAAAUUAAUUAUACAAAUGGAAUUAUUUAUCAUUUGAAAUAAACAAUGCAAAAAACAUGUAAAUAUGUCAGUUUGUAUUUUUUGUAGAGAGGGCAGAAAUUGAAAAUGUAAAAUCAAUAAUUCUAAAUACAUAAAAAAGUUUUAAAUUAAAUGUAGAUUUAACAAUUGUUUUGUAUGAAACAAAAGAUUUUAGCUGAAACUUAAGAAUAUUGACUAUUCAUAACUUUUCGUUCAUUUUAAUAAUAAAUAAACAACAAAGAGUAAGGGGUUGAUUGGUUGUUCUGAAGUUUUUGUUUUUGUUUUUAUUUUAGAAAAUAAGCUGUGAAUUGUUUUGCUUCGGUUUUAAUUGUUUUGCUAUAUAUCUAUUUUCAAAGCACUAAAUGAAAUCUUUAGAAAAUUUGAUUUUGAAAACUAAUAUAUUAUUUUUUUUCAAAAAAACUUUAUACUAUAUCUUUAAUUUUAAAAGAUAAAAUAUGAUUGUUUUAAAAAUAAAAAUUUUAGAAAAAAGUGGAUGUCUAAAACAUUUACCACCAUUACCAAUCAACCCCUGAGUUUAUUCAUUUCAAAUUCGUUGGAGAACAUAAUAAAUUAAUUUCUGUAUUAUUACUUAUGUUUUUGGUAGUCAAUUUUGAAAUAAUACAUAUACAUGCUUUUUAUAAGAAAAUAAACAAGCUAAACUUAAUUACAAAUUAUAAGAAGAAAUUUACGCCCGGACAAAGACCCUAGUCAUAUUAAAAAGAGAAUAUACAGUUUUUAAUUCUAGGCAGUACGUGUUUCACAAGAUUUAAAAAUAGAAUAUGCUGAUUGUAUGAGUUAUUUGAUAUCCUUUACUGAUACGAAGCGUAGAAAUAGGAACUAAUAUAUCGUAAUGUUGUUUUGUUUUUGAAAAGGAAUAUACAGUUUCGAUCUUAGAUGGAAAUCUUAAUUGUUAUUGCGUAGAAGUAGAAAUCGUAAUUAGUUUUGAUUUUUGAUGGAAAUAAAGCAUAAUUAGUUUUGUUUUUGCACUGGGAUUAAAUCUUCUGAUAUCAUUAUUAUCUAUACAGACGAAACCAAAUUAUCAUAAAGAAAUAAUAAAUUGGGUUAACAAUACAAUCGCUAAACCAUACUUGGUUAGAUUAGUAUACACAAUGUUGUUGUACAUAUUCAAAAUCGAUAUAAAGAAUGUUAAGAAAUGGUCGAUGUGUAGAUACAUUAUCUAAUCAAAAUUAAAUUUCAUGUUUUGUCAAACUUAUGAUUAAUCAUUUGGUUUGUAAUGAUUUAGGUAAUUUAUAAAAAAAAUCGUUACUGGUUUCUUCGGUUUGCUUUAGAGAUAUUAAGUUGUUAUUAUGGUAUGGGCUAGCAGGUAUAAUAAGCCCAAAACAUAUUAAGCUACUCUAAAACAAACAUGCGAAAUAUUGGGCUAAGCAAACAUUUAUCCUCUCUUGAUUUACAUAAAGCGAAUUAAUGGGUUAAGAUGUGUUAAACGGUUGUGUUUUAAUUUCAGUGGCAUGGAAUAUGGUAAAUAUUGAGGAAAACUCAGGGCUAAGUACAAAAUGUACUUCAGUUUUAAUAGUUUAAUUUAAUAGUUUAGAUGUUCUUGAUAUUAGGAACAUUUUAUGGAGAUUAUUUUAAGCUUUAGACAUUUUUUAUGUUUAAAAUAGAUUUAGGACACACAUAUCUAUUAAUAUGUAAAAGACAAAGAAAACUUAAAAAUAGAUUCAUUAAAUAUAUCAGUGGAACUGGAGUGUAAAUAACUUGUAAAAUUAAGGGUUAUUUUUAUUUUGUACUCCCCUUUGUAUAUAUAUUCUAUAUUAUUAAAACAGAAUCUCUCAUAGGAUUUUGCCCUUAUUUUUUUGGAGAUAAUUAGAUUACCAUGCCACUGCUUUUUAGAAUUUUUUUUUAAUUAAUUGUGGCAACUAUAACUUCAACCAUUGGAAAAUAAGAGUGUUAAAACCAAUCAAAGUGCAGCGAAAUAAUAUCAGUCUUGACCAAUGUCAAGGCCAUCGAAGCCCUAUAAUAUAAUGAAGGUCACCGGGCCGUGCUUGUGUAUAAUCGAUUAACAUAUACUUUUACCAGGGAGGCCCAAUUAUUAUUGUGUUUUCGUUAGAGUUUUGGAUAUUUUUUUCUGGCGAACAAUUAUGUGUUCUUUUACAAAAAAAUAUUUUGGUUGUUAUUUAUUUGUAAACAAAAAUACCGUGGAAACCGAAAUUCACACCGUCUAUUUCCGUGAAAAUAAAAAAAGUCAAGAAACCAUAAAUUUCCCAAAGGUCCUGGAUUUCUGUUAAACCAACGUCAAGCAAUCAGAUAAUAAAAACAGACGAAAUUAUGAAUUGAUAAAAAAGAAAAAAGAGAGCAAGAAGAUCUUAUUCUGAAUUUGCGUAUGAGCGAUUACAACAGGUAAAGCCUCGGCUGCAAGAACUGUUAGCGAGUUUCCUAGUUCUAAGCACUUAAGACUUGUAAACCUAAUUGAGCGCAACUCUAUAACAAAAACAAAAACAAAAAUGCCUAAAUUGCUAAGUGCUGAAUUUUUUGUGUCCCUGCGCCUUCUGCCCUAGCAUCCCUUAUAUACUCCUCCUUAGGUCGGUUUACCUUCUUCCUUUUUUUCCCCAAGUCAACUUUAUCUUCUUGCAGAAAUAUUUCAUUUUCUUCGAUCUUCAUGAUUAUCUUCGAAAACUUGACAUUUAUCCUCGGACUUUCCAUUUAUCUUUUCCUGCAAACAACACAUAGACCGUCAUAGCAACUUUGGGCCUGAUUUCAUAAAAAUCGUAAGUGGGCUCAUAGUCGCGUUUUAAACCCUUUGGGCCUUUUUUCGACUUUAGACGUUUUUACGACCUUAUUGAAAGACAACCUUCGAUGCAAUGUCAAUUUUUUUAAUAACUCAAAUUGAUUGUAACAAGGAUAUGACCGAGGUAUUACGUUAACUGUUGUCGUUUUAGAGGAUCAAUUUGAACUUUUACGAGAAAACAUGUCUUUGCGGUUUUGUCGUCAGUUUCCAACGGUAACUCCAAUCGAGACGAAACAAGGGUCAGUUCAGUCGAGGCUUGAAGGAGGAAGCUACGAGGGUUUAUAGACGAGGCAGAUUUGAUCAAUCCAAAUCGCCAUUGGGAGAGUUGGUUGCGGAUGCUCCAACUUGCCCAGUGGCGAGUUGGUCGGAGCUGAUCCAACCCGCCCAAUGGCGAGUUGGAUAGUACGAUCCAACUCACCACGGGGCGAGUUUUUCGGAGCUGAUCCAACUCUCCCAAUGGCGAGUUGGUUGGAGCUGAUUAAACUCGCCCAAUGGCGAGUUGGUCGGAGCUAAUCCAACUCGUCCAAUGGUGAGUUGGUUCGUUGACCCAACUCGCCAUUGGGCAAGUUAGAUGAGGGUCGCCCAACUCGCCAUUGGAAGAGUUGAACGGGGCUUCUCCAACUCGCCAUUGGGUGAGUUCGAUGAAGCUUCUCCAACUCGCCCAAUGGUGAGUUGGCUAGCUUCCCGGUGGGUCUGACGAUGCUCGUUUAGUUGCUUCGAUGCUCGGGAAUCGUUUGUUCGAAAGAUUGAGUAAUCUUUCUCGAGAACUCGUCGUAUAAUUGGUUUUUUAAAUUUUAACAAGUUCUUACUUUGAUUUUAAAGAUAGUGGGACUCGUUAAUUCCACGUAAGCCGUAUUCGUCAUAAAAAACUCGUAAUAAGAAAACGCGGGCCUCACUCAUUCCUCGUAAAUAAAAAAGUGGACCUCGCUAAUUCCUCGUAAAUGAACGAGGAUGUUACGAGGAAACAAAACGCAGGCCUCGCUAAUUCCUCGUAAAAAAACACGUGCCUCGCGAGUUCCUCGUAACUUUACGACGAUUCCUGAUUUUCUAUAUAUACACGCGAGCUUCUCACUUCCCAUCGUUUAGGAUAGAUUAGGUGGUUAUUGUAGGGAAUUUAGAUAGGUUUACAGAUUUUAUGUUAGUGUUGAUUAGGUGGUUAAUUAUAGAAUUUGUUAAUUACUAUUGAUGUUAAUUUUAAAAUUAAAAUUUUUUUAUGUUAGGUUCGAAAGAACAGACUUACUCCCCAUUAUAGAGAGAUGUUCGGUGAGCCUGGUAGUCGUUUAGACCCGUCUUCUUCAGCUCUCGGUUCUUCUUUAGCUCCCGGUUCUUCGGGUCCGGAGACUGUCCCCGAGACUCAGUCUUCUCAGAGAGUCUCUCGGUCCCCUCCUUCUGGUGCACCAUCGGUUCCUCGAUUCGUUUGCACCACCGGCUCCACAUGAUCAUGUGCCUCCUCCGAUGGCUCAUCCGAUGCCGGCCGGAUUCAUCCCGAUUUGAUGGUGCCGCCGAGUGCUCCUUACUCGCAGUACACUGUCGAAAACCUUCUCGCUCAGCCAGGCAGAGAAGGCUUACCAGUCUUAGACCCCGACCGACCGGAAGGAACUUUGUGGUACGUUACAUUUUUUUUAAAAAAUUCUUUAAAAAUUGUUUUUAACAAUAAUAAAUAAUUUAUACUUCAAAUUUUUUUUUCAGGUUUGGGGUUGACGGAUGUGUUGCUCGGAACGUAACCGAGACGGUCAAAGGUUACUUCUCCGAGCCACAUCCAAACUGGAGAAAGACGCCGAACCACGUCAGAAAGACGUGGUUCAAAAUUUUCGCUGUAAGUUACUAUUAAUUAAUUAUAUAUACUUUAUUUUUUUUAUGAUUUGGAAUUUUCAAUUUUUUAAAACUAAUUCUUAAUUUAUUGUUUUCGUGUUACAGCAAAAAUACCAUUGGUCCAUGGGGUCAAUGAGAGGAUGAAGAAAGUGUUUAACGCGAAGGCGCAAGCUCGCUUGUUGGACACGGUCUCCAACUGGAAGGGUGACUGGAUCGUCAAGGGGUAUGAGCGUGGCAAACCCCCUGAGCUCACCACGGAUGUGUGGGAUGGUCUCAUCCGUUAUUGGCGGGAUCCUGACGCCAUUAGAGUCGCCGAAUCUUGAUCCGCCUCCCGUCAGACGGUAGAUGAGCUCGGCCACGGGCCGAUGCUUCACUCUACGGGUCAAAAACCCCACGCCGGUGUCCGUCUGGAUAUGGUAAUUAAAUAAUUAAUUUUAUUAAUUAAAUAUAUUCUAACUUUCUUAAAUGUUUUUUAUGCCAAAGAGACGGGAGAACUCCCGUUUCUUUUGCAACUUUACGAGAGGACCCACAAGAACAAGGCGGACCAAUUUCUAGAUGCUAGGUCCGAGCAGAUCUUCAACGACUUGGUUGGUCACGUUGAAGACCGCCAGACCCAGCUGACCCAGCAGUCCACCGACGGAUUACCCGUCACCUUAUCCACACUUGAAAUGGAUAAGAUUUACGAGGAGGUAAAUUUUUUGAAAUUUAAUUUUUUAUUUUUGUCCCUAAGAAAAAGGGACGUACGUUGGGGAUUGGUUCUGUCAACGAUGUUCCGAGAGCGACAUCGUCUUAUGGUCAGAGACGGGAAGAUGAAGUCACUCAACUGCGUAACGAGUUGGACUCGACGUAAACUGCGUUCACAGCUCGUGUGGGUGGAGUCGAGGGCUUCUUGGACGUUAUAGCGGCCACAAAUCUGGAAUGGGAGUCCUUGUUGAGGAACAUGCGACGACAAAAUCCCAUUCUAGGCUAGUCAUCAUCCGACACACAUGCUAGCGCGUAUGUAAAGAUGAGGAGUGAGGAAUUCUACCAGGCGAUUAAUAAAAUAUUUUCGUAUUUAUUUUUAUUUUUACUUUUCUUUGGUUGUAUUAUAUUCAAAACUUAUUGUAUUAUAUUCAAAACUUAUUUAUGAAUAAAAUAUUUUCGUAUUUAUUUUUAUUUUAAAAUUAGAUUUUUAUUAAAAAAUUAAAUAAUUUUUAUUAAAUAAUUAAAUAAUUUUUAUUAUAUUUUUAAUUCUGGAAAUAUCAAAAUCGAAGUAAAUUCGUAGCUAAAUUACGACUACUUUACGUCGGAAAGUUACGAGGAAGUAAUGAGCAAAAUGUUUACUUCAACACUACGAGGAAAGUUUUACGAGUAUUUUACGUGGAAUGAUUUACGUGUAAUUUACAAGGAAAUGCUUACGAGGUAUUUACGAGGAAAUGUAGCGUCCUCCUUACGUGGAAAGUUUACGUGGUUUUUACGACAAAUGUUGUUCUUCGUUUUUACGACGAAAUUUUUACUCGCUAAUUUACGACGAAUAGGCAAGGAAAUAUGCGUUACGACGAACGAAUAACGACGAAACGUGUUUCCUCGCUAAUUCCUCGUAACGCCUCUUUUACGAGGAAGUUACUACGAAUUUGGUCGUCGUUAAUAUUGUGUUUUCUUGUAGUGAGCGGGUCGCAAUGAGGCUGGUCGAUUCCGCCGGCUUCCUCGUCCUCUAAGGUGAUCGAGUUUUUUGGGGCAUCACUGGGCGGAGACCAACUUGGCCAGUUUGCGGUCGUCUCUACUUUCCGCUGGUAGGUUUUGAUGGAUGACACCAUAUCGUUGCAGUACUAUGAUCCUCCGAUGAUCAUGUUUAUCGUGCGAUGACUAUUGUCAUUGCCUUUCUCAUCAUGUCUCCUCCCGCGCUUCACACCCGCUUGAUUUACCUGAGAAGGGUUCUCUACUUGCAGAGUUUUAUCGUUUUUUGGAGGACGGUCAGAAUCGCAGAAGAGAUCUUUCACUCUUGUUACACUAGAGAGCUCCCCUGCGAGCAAUUUCGCGGCCAAUCUUGCCCCAACAACUUUUCAGUUGAUAGUCGAGUGGCCUUUAGUCUGAUGGAAGUCGCAGAAGGUGUUUUCAUCAUAACUUGAAUUUCGGGUCCAUGUGUUGCCCGAAGUUCUUCCUUGUUCUGAUCCGGAGUUGAUGGCAUAGUUAUGCCCCCUCUGAAGCUUUUCCAUCUCGUGAUGAACAUAUUUGUCGUUACGAAAGUUCUUCUUUUUUGAUCUCUGGUUUGAUGUCGCGUCCUUUGAGGAUGUAUUUGCCGACUUAUGUUUUUGCGACAGGACUUUAGUCUCCUCUUCGAUGGUGAUGUAAUCAGUGGCCUUAUGUAGGGCGUCUUGGAUCGACUGCGACUUUCCGAAGGUUAUCCACUUCCUGAACUUCGACUUUUACUAGAGCGUCUUUCUGAGCGCAUCUAUAGCCACCUUGUCACUUAUUCCACUAACCCUUGACAUGGCGAGUUUGAAUCUGCUCAUGAAGUCGCGGAGAGGUUCGUCUUCUCUCUGGGCUAGGCUCCAAAGAUCGACGUUGGAAGUUUCUCUGUCUAUGAACAUAGAGUACUGCUUGAGAAACUCCGAAUAGAGUUGGCGGAAACUUCUGAUGGAGUUUCGCCUAUGUCGGGAGAACCACUCGAGUGCUUCUCCUCGAAGGUUUUUGACGAAGAGUCGGCAAUGGCCAGCGCCUCUUUUGAUCUCCCUGAAUCUGGCCCACCCCAUCGUGAUCUAGAAGGCUUGUAGGCGUGCCUUAGGAUCACCGGUGCCAUCGUAAGUGGGAACCCUAAUCUUUCCCGGAUCCGAGGUUUUGACCUCGGUGAUGCGAGCGGUGAAAGGGGUUUUCCGGGCCUCUUCGAGUAUUCUGUCGAUCUCGGGCGCGACACUGGUAGCAUGGUGAAUUUGAGACUUAACUUCUUUCACCUCCGCUGUAGUUUUCACGAUUUAAUCACGGAGAUUGCGGAUUUCUUCGGAAUCGUCGUCAGCAGUUUUCUGAGCUUGUCGGUGUUUGUUGUGAGUGAUUCGAGCCUGCUCCUCGAGUAGUUUCUCCUGUUCCACCCAGAAGAGAUUUUCCUCUUCUUCGGUCAUGGGCUUCUCGAACGAAAAAUCGUGACGAACGACGCGGCUUCUGGUUCUUCUCAGAUGCACGUCAACGUCUUCGUCCGAGUUAUCAGACUGAUUACUUGGAUCCAAGUCGAAUUGUUCACGCUCGUUAUCCUCUGUUUCCCGCUCGGUAGGUGGAAGGUUUUCCAAGUUUUUCCAUGUGACAGCAGGGGUGGUCUUGUCAAGAUUUUCUGCUGUCGGGUUAUCUUGCGUUUUCCCUGGUCUGUCGGGCGGAGUCGCAAAAUCAAAUCUUCUUCCGCGAAGCUUUGUGGCUCCGAGGGGAAGGACAGCCCUGGUCCUCGCCAUUAGGGGUUUGACAUGUUUAGCAAGAGAGCCGAUGAGCUUCUCAUGUUCUUCCGAUUUCUUUUUGAAGGUGGUGAACAUCUUCUUGAAUGCUACGGUGUUAGCAUUAGCGUUAACCGCGGACACGUUCACUGCAAGAGUGGUGCCAAUGUUAUCGCUGAUGUCUCCAUCAACACGAGUUUGCAGGUUGUCUGUUGACAUAUUUGCUCGAGCAUUUACGGCUGAGAGUUAGAUUGAUCCGUAUCUCCCCCCUUCUAGCGCCAAACUGUGGGAAAAAGUGAGUCUUCUUCCGCGGACUCGGGUUGUUCCGCGCGGAAGAACGGCCCUCGUUCUUGCUGUUAGGUUUUCAACCCGUUUUAGCGAGAGAACUCAUGACCUUGUCCCGUUCUGCUGACUUCUUUUCGAAAGUCGAGAACAUCUUCUGGACCUCCUCGAAUGCUGUGGUGUUAACGUUAACCGCGGUAACGUUCGUUGCUGGAGUAUUUUCAACGUUGUCGUCGGCAGUGUUGCCAUCACGAGUUUUUUAGUUAUUGAGAUCAUCGCGUGACAUGUCUGAUCGAGCGUUGGUGGCUGAGAGCUAGAUUAAUCCCCCCCCCAUCCUUCUAGCGCCAAACUGUGGGAACCAAAAUUUGCACCAUCAAUUUCUUCGAAAAUAAGGAAAGUCAAGAAACUCUAACUUUCCCAGAGGUCCCAGAUUUAUGUUAAACCAACGUCAAGCAAUCAGAUUAUGUAAACGGACGAAAUUAUGAAUUGUUAAAAAUGAAAAAAGAGAGCAAGAAGAUCUUAUUCUGAAUUUGCGUAUGAGCGAUUACAACAGGUAAAGCUUCGGCUGCAAGAGCUGUUAGUGAGUUCCCUAGUUCUAAGCACCUAAGAGUUGUAAACCUAAUUGAGCGCAGCUCGAUAACAAAAACGGAAAAAUGCCUAACUUGGUCUAAGGGCUGAAUUUUCUGUGUCUCUGCACCUUCUGCCCUAGCAUUCCUUAUAUACUCCUACUUAGGUCGGUUUACCUUCUUCCUCUUUUCCCCCAAGUCGAUUUUAUCUUCUUGCGGAAAUAAUCCAUUUUCUUCGAUCUUCAUGAUUAUCUUCGGAAACUUGACAUUUAUCCUCAGACUUUCCAUUUAUCUUUUCUUGCAAACAAUAGAUAGACCGUCAUAGCAACCUUGGGCCUGAUUUCAUAAAAAUCGUAAGUGGGCUCUUAGUCGCGUUUUAGACCCUUUGGGCCGUAUUUCGACUUUAGACGUUUUUAAUCUUAUCGAAAGACAACCUUUGAUGCAAUGUCGAUUUUUUAAUAACUCAAAUUGACCGAGGUGUUAAGUUAACCGUCGUCGUUUUAGACGAUCAGUUUUAACUUUUACGAGACAACAUGUCUUUGCGGUUUUUGUCGUAAGUUUCCAACGGUAACUCCAAUCGAGACGAAACAAGAGUCAGCUCAGUCGAGGCUCGAAGGAGGAAGCUACGAGGGUUUAGAGACGAGGCAGAUUUGAUCAAUCCAACCAAGCGAUGGCGAGUUGGCUAGCUUUCUGAUGGGUCUGGCGAUGCUCGUUGAGUUGUUUCGAUGCUCGGGAAUCGUUUAUUCGAAAGAUUGAGUAAUCUUUCUCGAGAACUCUUCGUAUAAUUGUUUUUUGAAUUUUUAACAAGUUCUUACUUUGAUUUUCCAGCCAAUUGUUUCUUCGAUACUUUCAGACGUUAACUCUGUCGCAACCGAUUUUGACCCCAACAAAUACUUAAUCUGCUAUAUGAUUUUGUCAUAUAUAAAAUAUUGUAAACUAAGAGGAGAAAUUUAUGAAAUUUUCACAAAAUAAUAGUUAGGUGAAUUAAAAAAAAAAAUAUUUUCAAACUACAAGAAAAUAUUUAUUUUAAAAAUUUAUAUGAGGACAAAUGUAUAACUUUGUAAAUCAUUUUCAAAAUCUAAUAAUAUUUUAAAAACAUAAACAAUCAAUAAAGCUGUAACUAUAAUAGAUAAUCUAUACUAUAAAAACAAGAUCCCUUAUAAUUAAAAAAUAUUUGUCAUUUUAAAAGAAAUAAAUUUCGCGUUUUUAAAGCGCGGGUCAAGAUCUAGUAUAUUCUUCAAGGAUCCGCCAUAUCCAGUGUGGUCUCGUGCUCCUUGAGACAUUUGAGAGGGCCUCUAGAAGCUGAAAAAAAAACUCUUUGUUGCCAGAAUUGUGUUUGGUUUGGUGGCAAAUCCGGAUCUUCUAAUUUAGGUAAAUGUAGAUCUUGUUUGGUCAGUUUUGAAAAAUGGGCCAUAACUUCAGAUUUCGUAGACAUUUCUCUUCAUUCUUAUCUUGUUGGAAACCUAAAGAAAUCCAUCUUGAAGUCCAUAAGAUUUUUUGCGUCAGGCCGCUUCUUCACUGGGCUUGAAUCAACUUCUAAACUUUGAUACUCGAGGAUGGGCUGAAAAACUUUGGUUUGUAAAAUUCAUAUCUUUUUGAUCGGGAUAGAUUUGGGGUGGAUUACACUUGGAUAAGAAAGAUUAAUGAGUGUAGAAUCCAUGAAAAUUGGUUUCAUGGUCAAAUCCCUCCCGGUGUGUAAGAUAUGAUGUUUUCACUUCGCAUAUGUCCUGGUUGGCGUCUUGACGGGUUAAAUUGUGUAUUGGAUCGACCUCUGGUUCAACUACUGAUUUAAUGGCUGCACCAGAAGGAGUAUUCGUAGUACUUAUUUGCAAUGGUGAAUUAAGUUUACAAUACUUACAGCGCAAAACCCAAGCUAAAAAUAGUCUAUAAAUUGAAGUAAUCUCCAAACAUAUUUUGUCAAAAUUGCCAGAUUAAACUAGUCGAUCAUACGAAACCCAAUAACACAUUACUCUCUUGGUAAACAAAGUUUUCUCAUUUUCCCCAGUAAAGCUCUUUUUAGGAGUAUUCGAACUCUGCUAGAAAUGUGUAAUGGCAUUCGCAAGUCUUUCACAUAUAUCUAGAGGAAACAAGAAGUUAAACAUAACAAUGUCAGUAAGACCAAUGCAAUAAAUUUGAUGAGAAUCUUCUUCCCUCCUUUAGAUAUCCAUCUUGCUGACUAUCGAUCCACUUUAUUCUGCAGUCUGUGCUUGAGAAAAGCAAAUAUUUUAUAUUUUGAGCUACUACGAUUUUUUUUUUAUUAAAAAAAAAAUCUACUAUGAUUUUCCAGACACUAAGUAGGAAGACAUUUUCUUUUCAUUUUGGAUUUCAAAAGUAUCUUUUACUGUUUGCUUUAUAUUCUUGGAGACAUAUUUUUUUUUACUGUUUUUAUAAUUUAUCAGAUAAGUAAUAAUUAUGCAAAUACUCCCUCCGGAUACGAAUGUAUGAUGUUUCAUCUUUUUAUCUUGUAUACAAAUGUGUGAUGUUUUGAGAUAUAAUUAAUGCAUUUAGUUUUAAAAUUUAAACAUAAAUUAAAAAGUUAAAUUAUGAAUGGUGAAACUUUAUUGAUAUAACCAAAAAGUAACCAGUAAAAUAGUAUAUUUAUUGUUUCUUAAAAUGUGUGUAAAACCUUAAACAUCAUACAAUUAAAUCCAGAGGGAGUAAUAAAUUAAUUUAAGAGAAAAUCAAAAGCUGUUGGAGUCAAUCAUAUACAAGUGCCCGGCCCAACUGCAAGGCUACGUGUUGAAUCCUUUUAAAGAUUCCAAGCAUUUAUAACAAUACUCAACAACUGCUAAUUACAGAUUAGAUUUGAUUAAUUUUAUAGACGCGUGGUGUACAACCAAACCACAUUCACGGAUCGGACAACAUUUGAAUAAUAUCUUUCGUAUGCGUUGUAUCUUUUAGAUUCUUUCGGAUUUAAAUUUUAUACUUCCCUGAUUUUCUUUAAUUGAAAAACCUGAUAUUUCAACAGAAAUGGAGAAGCGCAGUUGUCAAGCCUUGUGUAGAGAUCAAAAGGUGAAAUUAAAGAGGUGAAAAAGAAGCUGUAAAGUAUGACUUUGAAGUUGAUACUUUACUUCAAAUCCAUAAACAAUCCUGCGUAUAUAUAUCUUUCUUGGUGCUACAAUCCCAACGAAUUUGGGGUUUAUCUACAGUACUAGUUCCAAAGAAGUAAAAGCAAAGCAGCAUUCUUCUUCGACGAAAAAAAGACAAAAAUAGCAAUAAAUCAAGUUUUUGUUCUCAAACUAGCACUUAAGGUCAAAAGUCACAAAAAUAACAUUUAAUGUUUUAUCAAAAGUCACAAACUUAGGGUUUAGAGUUUAAGGAUGGGGUUUAGGAUUUAAGGUUUAGAGUUUAGGGUUUAGGGUUUAGAUUUUAGGGUUUAGGGUUUAGAUUUUAGGGUUUAGGGUUUAAAGUUUAGGGUUUAUGGUUUAGAGUUUAGGGUUUAGAGUUGAGAAAUGAAGUUCUGGGGAUAAGAUUUCAAAUUUUGAAAAAUAAAAAAAUUAAAAUUUUCAAAGGAUAAACUUAGAAAGGUGCUAUUUUGGUCAUUUUAAUUUUUGAAUGCUAUUUUUGUGAUAUAAACUUAGAAAUGUGCUAUUUUGGAGAUUUGGCUUCUUAGAUUAUAAACCCAAAAAAGAAUAAGAAAGAAAAAAAACCCUACAACUUGGGUAUCUAAGCCCUCUCGAUGUCUUGUUCUCGUGUGAUAACAUUUUACAAGCACAUAAAAUUUCUAAGCUUAUCAUCAUCAUCAUCUGGAAUACAAAAUCCAAUCCUCUCUCAAUACCUUUUGUAUUUUUCCAGCCUCAUGCGAUGGUGAUUGCUUGCAUAUUGCCUUCAGAUGAAGAAACUAAAUAAUCUAUGAUAACAACACCUUUUCUCUCAUUCCAAUUUGGUUGCGGAGGAGACAAUAUCCAAAUCUUCCAAAAACAAACUUUAUUUUCGUUAAAAGAGACAGGUAGUAAAGUGAGAGUGUUGAGGUGACCUUACCAAGAAAAGAAAGGUAUUCAAUCCGUAAAGAUGACGGAGUCUGCAAUGGCCAACAAAGGUUUCAAGCAAGUAGGCAUAAACUUCCUAGCAAAAAAGUAGGAGGUUGAAUGAUUGGAAAGGCGGAGGUGGUGAAUCAAGUGGGAGGAGACUUCUGUAGGCUUGUAGGAAUAAGGAUGACCCUUGACAGUAGCAGUCCAAUUGACACGGGUGAGAGUGAAACCGGUGCAACCCAGUGGAUCCUUCAUGUUCAUCAACGUGGGGAAGUAAUGCUCCUCGGGGUAACACUCAUCGGAACGGUAGCAAGGGAGCUUGAAUUUUCUCCACAGGAUGCGAUCUUUGACAGUGAGAAGAGCGUGUCUCCUAGUCAUGAGGAAGAAGUGAGAACCCACUCGGAAUUUGUCGAAGGGGACUUGAGGUAACAUAGCGUAUCUCCCUCGAGCAAUGUAGCGUUUCCAAAGCCUGGGUUCAUCGGAGAUGAGCUCGAUGAAGCUCCGGUACCAGAUUCGAACCCCUUUGGAAGUUGGAUCCGGGUUUGAUUUAUCGAAACUGGGUGAUUCGAAGAGGGAUUGGUAGACGAAUCUGAAGGAGUGGAGAGGAAUGCAGUGCUGAGAGAGGACUGCGAAGUACGCGUUCGCCGGGUCGUCGAGAAGUGCGGUGGCGAAGAGUCGGCGCGUGGCGGAGAUCAGAGUGGGAGAGGCGCGUGAUGUGCGUUUGGCGGAGGUGAUGAAGGCGUUCUGGAAGACGGAGCCGUUGCCGGGUCUGGUGAUGUUGACGAAGGGAUCUGCGUGGACGUAGACGUUGUAGAGAGAUCGAGGAUGGCCGGAGAAGAAUCCAUCCCAGAUUGGCGCGAAAUGGAGGUCGGAGUUUGUGAGGAAAAGGAAGGCGAUUUUGAGCUUAGGCUGUGGGCUCCCGGAGGAAAGAUGCGAGGAAGAUCCCGCGGAGGCGCGGCGGAAUAGGAUCUGGUCGUCGAUCUCGUCCGCGAUAGGGAUGAGAGAUUCGCGUGGAGGAGGAGGGAAGACAUGAGGGGCAACGAGGAAGAAGACGAUCGGGAUACAAAGAAGAAGGAAGAAGGAGAUAACGAACUGGUUCGACAACAUUUGCGAUUUCGAAACUAGAUGAAUGUGCGUACUAGCUUUCCCAUCUAUUCACUUUCCGACUUUUUUCACCCCCAGAAGAACUUUGCACAAGAUUCAGCCAAUCAGGAUGCGACUUGAAGCUUUGUCCUUUUGGCUUUAUGACGAUUUCAAGAGUGACGAUGAGUCAAAGGAUCUUUCAGAUUUCAACUGGCAAGCUUUAAGGGGAUCUCUCAGUUACUGACCAUCUUAUGAAUGAAGAGAUAAAAGGCGAUGACGGAAGAUGAUUGUGCUUUGUUUGUUUGCGUCCGACGCCACCUGAGGGUAUUUGUGUCAAUCCAUGACCCAUACACAGUCUCUGUCCCUAACGACGUCAUGUAACGAUUGCGUUCCUUGCCUCUAUUGACGCCCACUUGUGUUAACCCCGUUAUCCUCGUCGGUGAUAAUUUGAUCAUGCUAUUUUAUUUAUCUUUUUAUCAAGUUUAGUUUUUAGGAAAAUGAUCAACGUCAACGUGUCUAAUCUCUAGAACUAAAUUGAUCUCUCACGUUUAUUACAUUAUUAACUUUAAUAAAUUAAUAUUAUUUUGUAAUUGUUAUUAUCAAAAUUAUAUUUUAGUUAUUACUUUUUAUACAAAAAGGAAAUUAUAUAUAUUUAAAAAAUAUAUCUAUAAACUAUUUUUAUUUUCGUUUUAAUAUAUAUGUAUGUACCUAUGUAUAAUCAUAUCAAUAUCAUAAAGAAAUUUAGUAUAAAAAGGAAGAUCUUUAAAGUAAAAAUAUAUAGCAAUUUGUUAUAUUUAAAACAUGUAAUUUGACAAUAAAAAAUUUUCCUUUAUAUAAAUCCCAAUUUCAUAAACUAUUUACUAAUUUUCAUUACUAAUAUAUCUAUUUCUAUUUUCUUUUUUUUGGUAAUAUUUUUUUUUAUAAAAUCAUAUCAAUAUCAAAAAAGGAAUUUAGUAUCAGAAAUAACAUCUUAAAACAAAAAUAUAGUAACUUUUGAUAUUUAAAACAUGUUGCUUUUAAAAAAAGUAAUAUCCUUUUAUAUAAAUCUCUCUUUCAUAAAGAUUUCUUGAUACUUUUUGUCUAGUAAUUUUUUUCUACAAUUAUUAAUAAUGUUAGUUAAAUAUUUUUCAUUUUAAAUAUAAUAAUUCUUUUUCAUAAGAAAAAGUCAAUUUAGUUGCCAAAACAGUAUUUACUUUUAAUACACUAUAGAAAUUUUUUUUCUUAAUUAUAAAUUUUCUAAAAUAAUAAUUAUUUUUUGGAUAAUUAUUCAGUCUCUUAUUUAACAAAUUCUCACACAAUUUCAUACAGUUUUUCUUUUCAUAAUUACAGAUUCUCAAGCCUAAUACUAUGUGAAUGUUUCAAUAUCUAUAAAAAUAAACAAGUAAUUAUUUCAAAUCCAAUUCCAUUAGAAAAUUGUUUUUCUAUGAAUGUGGUAUUUGAUCAAAGUAAUUACAAUACUAUUACGUUCUAAAAAUCUAAAUGAUCGACAUGUUUUUUAAAAAUUUAAAAUUUGAUUCACUUAUACAACUUCUGAUAACCAUUUAAACUUUUUCUCAUAAAUUUAAACUGAAACAAAAUAUAUCAAUCUAAAAAUACAUAUUUACAAAUCUUAGAUAUUAAAUUAAAUUAUAUAAUCUGAUUUAGUAUGAUUAAAAUUCAAUUGAAAAAUAUAUACAACUCAACAUACCAAAAAUAACUUAACCGAUCCAAAAUUUUAUACCCCAAAUCAUAUAUUUAAUUAAGAUAACGAAAUGACGUAGUUUAGAACAGUGUUAUAUUUGUCUUUCUUAUAUACAAACUACAAAAUAAUUUAAACUUAUUAAUAAUUAGAAAUAAAAAGUUAAUCAAUUACAAUAAUUUUAUUAUUUUGUAAAUGUUUGUAUCCGUGCAUGAGCACAGGAAAUCAUCUAGUAUAUACAUAUAUAUAUAUAUAGAUGGUUAAAGCAUUUUUUUUUGUUAAAGCAUUUAUAACAUACAAUUUCAUAUAAAAUAUAUAAUACAAGGUCAUUCUAUAUAAAUAUUUUAAAAUAACUUAAUUUUAAUAACUAGUUAAUAUUUUUCUUUUAUUUUUAUGUAAUUUAUUUUAUUUUAUAGUGUAUUGCCAUAUUCGUUUACGUGCAGCAUGACCUACAACCAAUGACUAAGAUAACGUUCGUUUACGUGUCGCGCGACCUACGAUUUGCAACCUGCGAUUAAACCUGCGACUAAAAUUAUAUUCGUUUACGUGUCCUGCGACCUGCGACUAGUAGAGCGAUCAAAAUUUUCUUAAUUUUUAGGUUAUGUUUUUUCGGGUGACUUGCAUCAAAAACUGUGAAUGGUCGCGCGAUCAGUCACACGACAUCAAAACGAACAACAACCUGCGACAUGCGACUUGCGACCAAUCGCAGGUCGCAAGUUACGCGACAGAAAGACGAACAACCUGCUACCAUUCGCAAGUCGCAAGUCGCAAGUCGCAUGUCGCAGAUUGCAGGUCGCGCGAUAGGUAAACGAACAUGGCUUAUAUAUAUGAAAAUAAAUAAAAAUAUUUAAAAUCAUAAUAAUUUUUUUCUUAUAUAUUUGCAAUUUUAUGUACAAAAAUAUGACUGAUUCACUUAUUUACUUUCAAGUUAAAAUACAAUUUUUUGAGUUUUAAACUGAUAAAUCAUAGAAGUUUGAUUAAUUAAAUUUAGUUAAGUUUAUUAUCUUAGUUUUAAUAAAUAUAUAUUCUUAAAAUUUUAUAUAAUUGAUAUAUAUUAUUUUUAGAAAACAGUGAAAAUAAAUUGAAGUGAUGUAUUAAUUGAAAGAGAAAAAGACAAAAAUAGCACUAAAUCAAGUUUUUGUUCCCAAACUAGCACUUAAAAUCAAAAGUCACAAAAAUAGCACUUAAUGUUUUAUCAAAAGUCACAAACUUAGGGUUUAGAGUUAAAGGGUGAAGUUUAGGGUUUAGGGUUUAGGGUUUAGGGUUUAGAGUUUAGGGUUUAGGGUUUAGAGUUUAGGGUUUAGGGUUUAGGGUUUAGGGUUUAGGGUUUAGCGUUUAGGGUUUAGGGUUUAGAGUUUAGGGUUUAGGGUUUAAGGUUUAGCGGUUAGGGUUUAGGGUUUAGAGUUUAGGGUUUAGGGUUU
rnacentral:lncRNA from 1 species